rnacentral:lncRNA from 1 species
UUUAACUGAAAAAUUUACGACCAAAUAACGGAAGGUAUAACAUUAAUACAAAUUCGUAAGAUGACGUAUGACUUUGUCAAUUUUAAAAGAUAAGGCAUGAAAAUGUCAUCACAACACUAGUUAAGGUAAUAUUUUGUAAUUUAUCCUAAAAUUAAGUAACAAAAUUGUAGAAAAAAUGUUUAAUCAAAUUUGCAAAAGGAAUAGACGUUUAGUUUAUAACAUUUAAAAAGUUUUGCCCAUGCUUCUCAUGCUUUCUCGUGGCUCUAAUGGCUCUAAUGGCUCUAAUUCAAUGGUUUCUCAUGCUUCUCAGCCUCCCGUGCACUUUGUUGCUGAUGUUACUCACUCUACUCCUAACGGCGAUGCCCGAAAGGCAUGCAAAAAUCUCUUGUCACUUGGAACAACGCAACAAGCCAAAGUGCGAGAUUUCCCCUACCACAUCGGAUGUUCAUGUAAACAUGCUACAAAUCCUAGUUUGCAGCAAUAUCAUUAGUCCACCACCCAUAAGAUGGAAGGGCAGAUUCCAAAGCUCUGGUAGUUUUACUUGCGACAAGUAAAAUCAUUGGGGCACAGUAUUACCGUGCUAAUGGUGUUUAUACCAUAUUUAGGGCCUCGUAUUUAGAUCUCGUACAAAUACUCAGGGGACUUAAAUGUAAUUAUGGGAUAAAGGAAUGGGCAAAUAUGUAAUAAGUGAGGAGUCCUUAUUCUAUAAAAGGACCCCUCACCCUCACAAUUGGGAGAGGCUCAUUCUCACCCUCAGAGGCCAUUUCUGAAGCCUCUCACCCCCUCUCAAAGCUCCUCACAUCCCCUAAGCUCUCUCUCCCUCUUCAACAGAGAAAUAUAAUACAAUCAGUGUGGACGUAGCCCAAACCUUGGGGUGAACCACGAUACAUCUUGUGUCAUUUACAUUUCUUGCAGAUUUACGAUUGGAUUUACGUUGUUCCAAGACCCCCGGUUUUGUGCAUCAACAUUUGGCGCCGUCUGUGGGAAUCGAUACGAAAAGUUAUGUCGGUUCUUUUUCAUUUUUUCAUCUCCAUCGUAAAUCUGCAAAAAUUUGCAAAAAACCCAGUAACAAAAAAGAUCCAGAUCUCAAAAUCACUCAUCUCUCUCUCUGGAAAACUCUGCAGUCUUAAGAAACCAUCCAAAAACCAAAAUCCCAAAUAAAUCUUGUCGCACCAGUGGUUUUCUCGGAGACUUCGCCAAAGAACAAGCCGCUUGAAUUCUCCAACAAGAUAGAAAUUGCAGUGUCCCAAUGACUACAAAAUGAGCGACCACAAGGUCGCAGCAGCACCACCUGCACCUGAUCACCCACUACCAUCAUUCGGAAGACUAAGCUCCACACCCUAAAGUCGAUCUCAACGAAGUCGCUCCACCUCCCCACUCUGAAACUCGGACCUCCACCUCCCUUCAACACACUUUGUCAGUCUCUCUCUAUCUCUCUGUAAGUGUACCCAUCAAAGCUCCCACUUCGAUCGAUUCAGCAUCGAUGAUUUCGAGGUAGAAGAUGAGGUCCGACCCGACUUCCCGUGCCCGUAUUCCUAUGAGGACUUCGACAUCGCGUCCUUGUGCUUCCAUCUCGAAGACGAGCCCUCCUGCGAAUCCACAACCACCUACUGCUCAGCCUUAUCUAAAAAAAAUAGUGGGUUUCAAUGGUAGGUUUCUGGGUUCUUGCAGAUCUGAUUUCAGGCAACAACAGGAGGCUCGGCUUCAGACAACAAUUUCUGGUAUUUAUACCAUCUAAGAAAAGCAGAUCUCACGAGUUUCGAUGGUGGUUGUAGAGGGAAGCAAUGGGUUAAAUGUUCAAGCUGCAGCGGCGGGUUCGAUCUCUAGGACAGCUUCGGUCGGUGAGGGGUUGAUAGAUCAAUUUCGAUGCGGGUGGUAGUUUGACAAUAGGUUGUUGCGCGGUGCAUGAAUACAAUGCAGCAGGCGUGCGACACAAAACGAGUACGAGUCAUUGUCGAAGUUCGAACAGCUACUUCGGCACUGAUUUCAGAUUGAAUCUUCUAGUACACGGUUAAUUAGUCAGUGUAUGUUGUUCUUGUUUUAGAUUUUUAGAGAGAGAAAAUUAUGGGAUCUGGAAAUGGGGUUUAUUUAGUUGGGGAUUUCGAUUUGGAUGCCUUGUGGUUAAUAGAGAAGAAAAUGUAUGAACUCUGUUGAACGCGUCUCGCCGAUCAGACAACAGGCAAAGGUUGAGGUUUGGUUGAUGUUGCUGGAGAUAAUAAGCACAAGGAGAACAAGCAAGAUUGUGGUUUGGAGCCAUUGAUAUUGAAAGGGGAAGAAGAUGAGAGAGCAUCGCCAUGCACUACCGUUAUCAGAGGACCCAGUUCCCGCCCCAUGGCCCCACCAAUUCCACUCCAUCUUGGUGAUGAACUACACUGGAACCCUCUAGCUCAUUGACCUCUAAGCAGAAAGAAGAUGCAAGAAACAGAGAACUUGAGUGCCAUCUGCACUCUGCAAAGUAAAAGCAAAAGCUAAAAGAGAAAGAUUAUACUUUUGCUUUUGUCGACGGAUGCAUGUUCCUAUUUUUUAAAAGCUAGAGAAAAGCAAAUGGGCGAUGUCGGAAAGGCUGUCCAAAGCAGCUGUCAUUUUAGAGCAAAGCAGAAAGCAUGGCUACCCGAGAUCUGCGGUGGAAAAGAGCAAAGCAGAAAAUAUGGCUACCCACUGAGAUAAUUACAAAAGUAGAAAAGAAAAGAGAAAAACAAAAGUAAGGAAUAAACAUCCUACCAGAAUGAUGUAAUUUAUAUUAUUUUCGGAGACAUAUGUAUAAACCCCAUCAGUGGGUAAUAUGUAUAAAACCCAUCAGAGGGUAAUCGUCAAAAAAAAAAAAAAAAAAAAAAAAAAAAAAAAAAAAAAAGGAAAAGCCCAAAACAAAUGGGCUGACAUGUUGUGGAAGGCGAAGACCCAUAAGCUUGAAAUAGCACCAACCAGGCGAAGACUCAUGUCAUUCAUACAUAAACAUUCAUGAGCAUCACUCAUGAUAAUCAUACAUAAACAUUCAUGACCAUCAUUCAUGUCAACAUUCAUGAGCAUCACUCAUGACAACAUCCAUGAGCAUCACUCAUGUCAAUCAACAUAAACAUUCAUGAACAUCACUCAUGUCAAUCAGCUUCAAAAGCUUCAUUUACAGAGCUCUAGCUUCAAAAGCUUCAUUUACAAAAAGCUCCAGUUUCGAAAGCUUCAUUUACAGAGCUAUAGCUUCAAAGCUUCACUUGCAAAGCUUCACUUACAAAGCUUCAGUGCAGGGUAUACAAAUACCACAUUCGAACAACCGCCACUUCGGCCUAUACAUAGAUUCAAUUUGAAGUCUCCAGCCAACAGCCUCUAUUGACUGAAGACUUGGGGGACUACAUUAUGUACCAUAUAUUGGGCCUCAACUGGGCCUCAUAAAAAAUACUUGGGAGACUCUAGCCCAUCACUUAUGUAUUGAGGAGCGAGCCCUUAUUCUAUAAAAGGGACUCCUUCACUUUUAGAGAGCACUCAUGAAAAAUACUUGAGGGACUCUAGCCCAUCACUUAUGUAUUGAGGAGUGAGCCCUUAUUCUAUAAAAGGGAAUCCCUCACUUUCAUUAGAGAGCACCCAUUAUUCAUGUACUGAGGAGUGAACCCUUAUUUUAUAAAAGGGACUCCCUCACCUUCAUUAGAGAGAAACGCCGCCAGCUGAGCAACCGCCUCGCCGUGAGCAUCAACUCUAGCCCAUCAUUUAUGUAUUGAGGAACGAGCCCUUAUUCUAUAAAAGGGACUCCCUCACCUUCAACACCACAAGCCGAGCCAACCAAGGCAAUAUAAGCCACAAGCCGAGCAACCUCGCAACAUGUGACAGUUGAGCAUCAUUUCAGAUUGAGCACCGCCUCAUAUCGAGCAUCAGUUCAAAGAUAACAUCUAGUUACUUCGGCCCACACAUGGACUGAAUUUCAAGUCUCCAGCCAAAAGACUCUCUUGACUGAAGACUUGGGGGACUACUGUUUAUACCAUAUUUAGGGCCUCGUAUUUAGAUCUCGUACAAAUACUCAGGGGACUUAAAUGUAAUUAUGGGAUAAAGGAAUGGGCAAAUAUGUAAUAAGUGAGGAGUCCUUAUUCUAUAAAAGGACCCCUCACCCUCACAAUUGGGAGAGGCUCAUUCUCACCCUCAGAGGCCAUUUCUGAAGCCUCUCACCCCCUCUCAAAGCUCCUCACAUCCCCUAAGCUCUCUCUCCCUCUUCAACAGAGAAAUAUAAUACAAUCAGUGUGGACGUAGCCCAAACCUUGGGGUGAACCACGAUACAUCUUGUGUCAUUUACAUUUCUUGCAGAUUUACGAUUGGAUUUACGUUGUUCCAAGACCCCCGGUAAUGGAUUUGACGUAGGUGAUGCCCAAUUUUCAAGAGACACUAUUGAAAAUGAAACUCAUAUUCAUGAAAAAAAAGAAAUUUUGCAUGAGUUUAUAAGAGAUUUGGCUACUCUCUAUAUUGCUAAUUGGUUUUGUAGUGGAAUCCCAACUUUUUUCAUAGUAUCAGAACAAGUUGUUCAACGUGUAAAGCCAAAUGGCCACACGGGCUCCAUGUCAUCCCGUUGUGCUGUCCACGUGUUAAGCUUGAAAAUUUGUCACAGGCACAGAUUUAAAUAUCGAUAUUAUCGGCGAAAUAUCGCCGAUAAUAUCGAUUUUUCGGGUAAUGGAUAUUUAAAUAGGUUUCCGUGUGGUUUUCGUCCAAAUAUCGCGAUAUUAUCGAUAAUAUCGAUAAUAUCGCGAUAUUUUGGAAAUAUCGAGAUAUUUCGUUGAACGGUGCAAUCGGACUCCGAUUUCGAACGCCGGAGAAGAACGCCGGAGAUGGUGUGGCUGUUCCCGAGCCCAUUUCAUCCCAAAAACCUUGCAAAAACACGAAUUUUAACUUCAAUUUCACAUAUAUGCUUCAAAUUUCACGCAUGCAUCAACGAUUCAACAUAUGAUGUCGGUUUAGGGCUUAGGGUUUCAAUGGAAUCUCACCUGAAAAAUCGAUGACUGGGCCAACUCCUUGCUCAGCGGCGCACCACCAGAGACGACUGAGCCAAGUCCGACUUCGCCAGAGCCACGAUCAACGGCAACGAAGGAUCGAGAGAGUGGGCGAAGGAUCGAGAGAGUGGGAGAAGGGGGAGAUCUGUGUGUGUGUGGGUCGAAUGGAGAAGGGGGAGAAGAGAGGUCAGGCCUCAGAGAAGAAGACCCCGGAGGCCCGGGAAACAACCGUCAUCGCCAACACGCGCAUCGACUGGAAGGAGACCCCGGAGGCCCACAUCUUCAAGGCGGACCUCCCGGGGAUCAAAAAGGAAGAGGUGAAAGUAGAGGUGGAGGACGGGAGGGUCCUGCAUAUCAGCGGCGAGAGGAGCAGGGAGCAGGAGGAGAAGACGAAGAACUGGAGAAGGGAGAAGCUCAGAAGUUCUAGAGAGAAGAGAAAGACAGAAGUUCUAGAGAGAGAAGGAUCCAGAGUGAGACUCUGUGGGCGUGCGUGGUUUUGGCUUUUGGGGGGGGGGGUUUUGUCUGUGACACACUGACUCACUGACUCUCUCUUCUGCGUGUGAUGUGUGGUGGUGUGAGAAAAAAAAAGAAUCCAAUGCAAUGAUCCAAUCCAAAUAAUUCAAAAUCAAAUAAAAAAACAUAUAAAUAAUUCAAAAGCAUCUUCAAAUAAUUUUGACAAGACACUCACUCUACACAUAGAGAUGAUGAAGAUAGUGAAAAAAUUGAACCUCAUAGGAACUCUAUGUGGUACUAAAGUGUAAAAUGUUGUACUAAUUCAUUAUAUAUAAAUGAUUAUGGUGUGUUUAGACUUCUUUCAUUAAUUACUACAUAUUUUUUACACUCACAAUGUUUGUCAGCUCGCUAUAUAAUCAACUUGAUAAUGUUAAAUCCAUCAUGCAAUGCAUUUCCUUCCAAUUUUUUGUGAUAAACUAAUAGAUAAUUGACUAAAUAAACAUCCUGCAAAGUUUCAAUAAAAAUUUCUAAGUUUUUCUUACAAUUUCCGUGGUUUCCAUGUAAUUUUUAUCGAUAUCGAUAUUUUACCGAUAUUUCCAUCGAUAUUUCCGUGUUUUCAGACUACCGAUAUUUCCGAUAUUACCGAUAUUUAAUACCAUGGUCACAGGUGAAAUCAAAGGAGGGACUUGCAUUAGCUUAUAAGAGGUUGAACUAUUCCCUAUAUUGCCAAUUUGUUUAAUUUUAAGGUGUGUUAUCCACACACCCUUUUUCACUUUUCACACACCUUAAUUUUUUGUCGUCAAAUUGAAUAAGUUGAAGAAGAUCAACUAAAUUAAUAAAGGAUGUCUGAAAAGUCCACACAUCCCUUAAUUUAUGAUGGAACCUCAACUUUCUUCAGACACCCAUGGCCAUGAGACUCACACUGCAUCAAUAGCAGCAGGGAACUUGGUCAGCAAUGCAAGUCUAACCAUUUAUGUUGGACAAGGAGUUUAACCAUUUAUGCUUAGUACUGAUCACUUCGGUUCUUUGGAUGAAUGUAUGUAUAGGUAUGGAUGGUGUGGUGUCUGUUUUCCCCAGUGAAAAGAAGAAGCUCCUCACAAGAACGUUAUGGGACUUUAUUGGGUUCCCGGAAAGAGAGUCGAGUAGCAACAAUCUUGACGAAAGCAAUAUCAUUGUAGGAGUGACUGAUACUGGAAUUUGGCCGGAAUCUGACCUAAAAAUGGGAAGGCACAUGACAAUCCUAAGCCAACAUUACUUGUAAUUUGUAUGGCAAACUAGUUUGUUGUCUGUUACUCCAAUCAUCAAUACAUCUAGAAUGUUUUUUUUUAUCAAAUUUGAUCAUGUGAAAUGAUGACUUUUGAAAACAUUAGGAAAUAGGAAAAGCCUAUAGUUUUCAAAUAAGGCUUUGGAUCUCAUCCGGAUCUAAAUUGUGGGGAUCAUAGGGAUCCUCAUAUCCUAACUAUUUAUCGUACAUCGUGCGACCAGAAAUCAUUUUAAAUUUUUUAUUUAAAAAUUAAACGCAAAUAGUACCUAACGAAAACUGAUCGCACGUUAUACGAUGAACGAUUAAGAUGUGAGGAUCCUUAGGCCAUCUCCAAUCGAAGGGUCCAGAGGGCCAGAUGGUUGAAAGUACCAAGAUGUUCAAUCUCAAUGACCUUCUCUUUAACUUUGUCUUGAACUUUCAGAUAUUCGAUGUCCAUUAGCCUCGAUGCUUUUGAUCUUCUUUUGGUACCUUAGAACUUUCUUUCAGAUAUUCGAUGUGAUUCAAUUAUUUGUCAAAUGAUUGUUUUUUUUUUUAAUUUUAUUUAUUUUUUUGAACAAAAAAUAUUAUCUACACUAAGAGGGAGAAGGGGUGCUUAGCCUCACAAUUGGCUAGCAAUAAUGUGAUUCAAUCAGUUAUUUAUUAAAUAUUAUUCUCUCUAUUUUUAAACACAUUUAAAACAUCUUAAGAGGUGCAUACCACCGGUGAUAAAAAAAAGGUCUUUCUGCCGGUUAUAAAAAAGGCAUUUUGCACGCGCAUAACAAUGUGAUUCAAUGACACACCUCGACUCGAAAUGUCCACUAGGACUCUGAAUCGAGCUGUGCUAGUGGAAGGUGACGAAGCCAUAAAGUAUAGUGCUGUGGAAAAUGUGAAUAAAUUUAAACCUAAAAGUGUUUAAACACAAGAGUGCGCUGUGAGCGGGAAUGAACUCAUUUCACACGCGACAUCAGAGCAUAAGUAAAGUACAGUAGUGUUGGUAAGGAUCAUACCCUCAAAGGUAGCCACCUAUACUGAGAUUCGCCAAGAAUCCUCGUCGAUAAGAACUUUCAGUAGCUAAAACCUGGCGGGGCAAAAAAACAAGGGUGAGUGAGCCUGAAAACAAAGUUUUAAUAAAAACAUUUUGAAAACGUUUUAACCCCUCGCUGUAAAAUUCGUAUAGUUUCUAGAAAUUAACACUACAUAUAUAUGUAAAACAAUGCACAAAGACAGUAAAAACCAAGUAUGAUCGUUUCAACACUAAAAUAUGUAAGCCAGGUGUGAAAAUCAAGGUAAAAUAAUAUGCCAGCUGGAGUCACCUAACGUGACCUGUAUGACUAAACCUAUAGCUCAUCAAACUAUGUCUGCACACGAGUUGAAACCACCUAAUGUGGUCUGUACGACAUGCUAGCUGUAAAUAAGUACGCUCAAGUGCUACGAUCUCGUGAAGGCUGUGCGAAUAAUCGCAGGUCACCUACGAGUUGGAACCACCUAUUGUGGUCUAUACGACAGGGAUGGCACCAAGCUUGGAUCCAAGGUGAGCGUGCGGUGCAUGAGGUGAACAUUACAUGAAGGACUGUGCCCUGACCUCGGGCGGGAGCACUAACACUAGGGUGCAGCAAUGAUGAGCUCUAAAUGCAUCUAUGCAUAACAAUGUGCAAUACAACCAAUACCAUCACAAUAUACUCACAUGAAGCUUACCUAAGCCUCUGCAGCAUCAAACGAUAUAAUGCAUAACAAUAGUAAUGAAAUACUAAAAAUAUAAUUCAUUCAUGACAUGGCAUUCAAAGCAUAGCUCAUAUAAAAGUGUUUUUGAAAACCGUAAAGCAUAUAUAUAAAUACUAUAAAAAGGAAGAAGACCCACUCACUUAGAGUCUGCGCUACAAUUCCCUAGCACAAACAUCGAGGCGUCACGAACGAUCGGCGCCUAGAACAAUUAUUAAACCACAUCUCAGAAUCCUUAUCAAUAGAACACAUAACUUACAUAAAACACAUCCCCAAGGAUGUUCUAGAAUGAUUUGAGACCCAUUGACCAAAAGUCAACCGUCGGUCAAAGAUUGACAGUAGGGUCUACAACCCUAGAUAAUUCGAUCUGGAAGAUCCGCACCUCAGAUUUUCCAAUCUGUAACUUCCAAAUAUCCACAUUAUGCUUCUAAAACAUCAUACUAAAGUUUUAUUAUGAUCCAACGGUUGGAUCUUCGCCAAUUACCAAAACCAAGUGGCGGUCGAAGUUUUAUUUUACGAACUUUCAAAUCCAACUCAGAAAUACCCGCACUUCGGAUUCCCGAUCUGUAAAUUCCUAUGGUCCUUAAAUAUUGCGUACUAUAAUGUACUAAAGUUUGGUGACGAUCCAACGGUCGGAUCGUCAAUUACUAUUCUAAUCAAAUGGCGAACCUUAAUGGAACUAGGUUCAAACCACAUAAAUUCGUCAAUUAGACUUCACAAAUGGAAUCAGGGUAUUCAAAUUUAGCCUAGGAAGGUUAGGAGACGUCUCUGCCCACACGCUGCCGCACGUGCCACCGCAAGUGGCGAUUGGCCGCCCCGACUCGCAGGAAAAAUCAACUAUUUCUAAAAAUUACCAAAUUUUACAAAGAAGUAGAUAUCAAUAAGGGGAACAAUUUUCAUACCUGUGGCCAAGUCCAAUUUGAUCGGGAAACACCUGAAAUCCACCUCGAUCCGCGGAAACCCUUGAAAUGGGUGUUCUUGACUCGACUCCAAACAAGCUCCGACGACUCAACCAUUGUUUAGGCUUUGUUCCUGUGGUUGAGGGGAGUCUAUUGGUGGUGGUGGUGGUCGACAGGAUUAACUUCAAAUUUUGACGAUUCGAACCCAAAACCGCCACACCCCACCGUGCAGGUUCUCCCAAUAUCAAGGCCAAAUCCCUUGAUUUUUUGGGUGUAAUAGGAAGGGGGAAGGUCAUGAAGGAUUUUCCAAGUGGUGGUUUGAUGAAAUUUUCUGGAAAAAGGACGAUUCAUCGUUGAAAAACCUCCCAAAAAUGGGUCGGGUCACGAGUUAAGGGGAGGGUCCGAUUCUCUCUUUCUUUUCUCCCUCAUUUCCUUUCCUCCUGAUUGGCCGAUUCCCUCCCUCCUUUCUCUCAUUUCUCUUCUCUCCUUCUCAUCCCAACCGUCUAUUUCUUCCUUCCCUUUUCUUUUCCUUUCAUCCCAGCCACACACAUGGCAUUUCACAUGGCUUCAGAUUUUCUGGAGCUUUCUAAAGAAGAUUAAAAUUACCAAAAUAUCCCUAACUUUAAACGUUAAUAUCUCCUUUGUUGUAACUCCAAAUUACGUUCCGAUUGCGCCCACACGUUCGUAACGACAAAUACUACGAGGAUAUGUUAAGAAAAUAGAUCUUACAUGACAUGACAAGGUAGUAAAAAAAAAUCAACGUAUUUUCCUCGAAGGGCAUUUCCGUACAUUCACUCAUUAAAAUUACAAAAAAACUGUAAAAUUGGAAAUGGGUCGUUACAUUCAAUUAGUUAUCAAAUGAUCGUUUUUUUUAACAAACGAUAUUAUCUACACUAAGGUGGAGAAGGUGAGCUUAGCCUCACAAUAGGUUAAUGUGAUUCAAUCAGUUGUUUAUUAAAUAUUAUUUUCUCUAUUUUUUAUGUAAAUUCAAUAGAAUGUAGAUGAAAAUUGAAAGACUGAUUUUAUUAUGUGGAUUUAGCUGCUUUGAUUGGUUUGUGAGGGGUUUCUUAUAGCGUUGUCUAAUAUUAUUCAUUUAGUCCAAAUAUUUGACUUUCUUUUUGUCAUGAAAAUAAAAAUAUUAAAGCAAUUCACGUAUAUAAAUGCAUUUAAAAUGUGUAAGUAGCGCGCAGGACACCGUGAUUCAAAUAUGCCUUCUGCACGCGCGUAAGCGCUUGCAUGAAGGCUAGUGAUACGAAAUGAAAGGACAAGUUUGAAAAUAGACUAUUCAAUAUUUGUGGAAAUCUUUAUUCAGUAGAAUAUCCAAUAGUUCUCAUUCUCCAAUGCAUCUACCAUUUCAUCUCAAAUACAAAGAAAGGUAGGUCUACAAAUAACAAUCAAAGGGAGUACAAAAGGUGACCAAAAUAUAGCCACAUUUUCAAUUAUACAUGAAUUAAAAUUUCCACAGAAUGUGUUGACUUCAUGACUUAGUAAUUUAAAGUCUUGGUCCUUGGAAUGAUUAGAUAGAAAACUAUUUUGGGGACUCUUAAAUUUUGGGACCCUGUGCCAUGGAACCGGUAGGUCCCCCUCAAUAUCAGCUCUAAUUAUGAAUGGAUGUUUAAUCAUAGGUAAGGAAUGAUAGGGAAAAAAGGAAAACGAAAGUAAAGAUGUAAUGUGAAAUUUGUUAGGGUGGCUAGCAAACAAUUUCAUGAAAAUAAAGGUAAAAAAAGAAAAAGAAAAAAAGGAACGUCUAGAAUUGAACUUUUAAUAAAAUGAAAUUAAUCAAAACUGGACGAAAAUUGUUUAACCAAAUUCUUAAGGGGAGUUUUAACGAAAGUCCGCGGUACUGUUUACUUUAACGAAAAACCACAUUUUUACACUAAAAAGUCAAACCUGGUACUUUUCACUUUACCCUUUAUUUUGUCCUUAUCGUUAAAACUCAAAGUUUUCAAACCCUUUUUAUUAGUUUUCCUAUUCUUAAAAGUAAUAGAUGUUUAAUCACCAAAAUUAAAAAACAACGCGUUUAUAUCAAAACGCCCCCAAACUAUGUAAAAUAAUCAUGGGAGCACACCAUACCCCUAAGAAUAAAGAGAAAUUGCAACACGUGAAAUGCAUGGCUUUUCAUUUUUAGUAUAAGCAGGGCUGUCUCUGAAAUUUCGGGGAUCCUAUGCAAAUUUAUAAAAGGGCCCUUCUUAAGAUAAUAUUAAAAAAACUUCGUGGUUGUUUUUCUUUAACAAAAAAACCUAUCAAUAACUCGUUUUUUAGACGAGUCAAUUGUUCAACUUUUUUUUCUUUGGCGUUUCAAGUAGCCACAUAAAUAUUUUUUUAGUAGGUGUUAUCUUUUAUAUCUCAAACAAUAUCAUAAUUACAUUAUACUAAGCAUAUACAAUAAAACCUGAUAGUUCGCAAUGCAUGUGCGUCUAGUGGUUUUUGUUUACUGCUCCCCUCUUGCUAUGACAAUUACUUGAUUAAUUUUUAUGAGUUUUGCCCUAAAAAGUACAAAAGGAAAAAAAUAUCAUUAUUAAUAAAAAUACCUAAAUCUUCUAAUUCCAACUUAAUAUACUUGAACUAGUAAUACCUUAUUUUAAUCGAAGUCUACACCACUCUGACCACUUCAAUUGUCUUCGUGAUUUGGAAAAUUUUCUUCAAUGUUAGGAAAUUUUGAAUUUAGGGUUUAAUGGUUUGUGUAAAAAAAGUGGUGAGGAUGGGAGAUACAUGGGAAGUGGGAGAGGGGGCGUCUGGAUGAGAGAGAGAAGUGGAUCAUGACUCUUGGAGUGAGAAUUGAGAAACAUUAUGAAUAAUAUCAUUAUUUUAUAAUUUUUAUAAAUUUUUUUAUGAUUUGAUGACUUAUGUAGGCAUUCAUGUAGCUUGUGGCUUGUGGGCCCACUAGGAUUUUUAUAUCUUUUAUGUGGUUCUGAUUAGCCUUUUUAUUUAUAUAAAUAAUAUAAUAUUAUUUCAUAAGAUAAUCGAUUAGAUAGAAAACGGAAAAAUUAGUAUUCGGUCCCUAGUUCUUACUGUUCAUUGACUAAGACCUUAUUAAUUCUUAAAUUUUGAUUCAAGUCCCUAGCAAUAAUGUGAUAAUGAAUUUACAUGUUUAUUAUAUAAUUUUUUAAUAUAAAAAUUAGUAAUUAAUUUAGGGUUUAAUACUCACACCUCUACUAAACUUCUAAUUAAUUUUCAAUUCAAACAUUUCCAAAAUAAUAAAAAAUUAAAUUAAAUUAAGUUUGUACCUAUUAGUUUUUUUUUAUAUAUAAAAAGAUUCUCAAUUUUUUAAUCUUAAAUGUACCCAUUCAUAUAAUUUUUCAAUUUUUUUAAUCUUAAAUGUACCCAUUCUCAAAUAUAUCAAUUUGUUAUAUGUCAAAUGUACCCUUUUUUUUUAAUAUAAAAUCCAUUCAAAAAUUUUAAUCCAUGUUUAAACUUAUAUGGGUACAUUCUUUUUUGUUGAUUUGAGAAUGUAUCCAUGUUUUGGUACAAUAACUUUUUUUGUUAAUUUUGGUUAAUGUACCCAUACAUAUAUGUAUAUACACACACACACACACACAAUAUAAUAGAGAGUAUAAUUUAUAUUUUAUUAUUUUAAUCCCAUAAAUUAUGGGUUUUAUUUAAAAUCUCUUUAAUAUAAACAAUUACAAAUUUUAAAUUUUAAUUUUUAAUUUAAAAAAUAUAGUAAUGUCAGGGACCUCAAUAAAAAACUAAAAUCUAACAAGAUUUCAAUCAAAGAAUAUUGAUAGUUAGGGACCGCAUCCAAAGUGUCUCGAUAGAAAACUAUUUUGGGGACUCUUAAAUUUUGGGACUGUGCCAUGGAACCGGCAGCUCCCCCUCAAUCUCAGCUCUGAUUAUAAAUACAUGAUGGUGUUCUUGGAUGAGAUUCUCCAUCUUUUACAUGCUUUCUAGAACUUCGCUACAAUGGCUUUAACCCCAUGGUUUCUCCUUCUCAUCAGCCUCAUAUCUACUCUGCCAGUUGAUGUCACUCUAUCUGCUGCUCACCAGGAUACCCGGAAGGCAUUCAUAAAAUAUGCAUUUUGAACAAUUCCGUUUCUCUGCUCUAAAUAUGUUCAUUAAUUAAUUUAAUCUUCUGAUCUUGGAUAUAUUAACUGCAGGAUUAUAUUGUGUAUAUGGGUGACAAGCCAAAGCCAGAGGUUUCCACCACUACCACAUCAGCUUUUCAUGUAAACAUGCUACAAAACGUCAUCGAUGACAGGUUUAAUUAAUUAUCACAUAUGAUAGUGAGCUUAGUUAUAUAUACUGAUCAGUGUUUUAAAAUACUCGCAUCGAGGGCCUUAGUGGGUGGCUUGCCGUCUCUAUUUUGUGGGAGACGGCGAAAAACUCGGAUAGCUUCGUCGGGGCGUGCCUCAGGAUGUUUGAUUUGGCGUCAGUUUUGUUUAAAGGUUGUCGAAAUCUGAAAAAAAAAAAUUGAUUGAAAUCUGGGUUUUGUUUUCAGUUGCAUAGCAGUCUGAAGAAGAUGAAGAAGACCUCAAAAAUUGAUUGAAAUCUGGAUUGAAUUCUGGAUUUUUCUUUUUUUUUUUAUAUUAUUUUUUUCACUUUAUUAACCGCUGUUAAAUCAUAUCUUUUAGCAUAUUCUAUUUUGUAAGUUUUUGUUUUUUAUAUUAUUUAAUAGAUAUUAAAAAAAAUAAAAGAUAAACAGAGAAAAUAUUUUUAUUUUUAUGAAGUAUAUAGACCUAAAAAAACCUCAAAAGUGUUGGGUUUUAAAGAGACUUCACUACUUUGGAGAUAAACAUCUCCAAAGAAGAAUGUAAUGCAGCGGAAAUUGAUAGGCAAGAGAAAAAGAACACUCAAGGUAUAACACACAAAAACCUUUUAUUCUCACACAAACUAAUACAAGAGGAAUCACUCAAAACACUCUUAGAAGCUAUGGAUGCUUCUUCUACUUAUUCUCUUUUCUUUUAGGUAGAGAGCCUUCUUGUCUCUCUUACUUCUUCUUCUUUCUCUUUUCUUCACUUCUCAUUCUUAAACAUAACAACAUACUCUAUUUAUAGGCAAGUAUAACCAACCAUACCAAGUGUGAAUACCAAGUGUGAAAUCAUCCUAGCCAUUAUUCAUGACUCUACUAAAAGUAGCCCACCACCAUGGACUUUGCUUAUGGACACAAUGAACACAUGCCAUUCUUAUGCUAGAAUUGUCAAGCAUUUUCAAUGCAUGCACCGGCCACUUUUCUAGAAGCAAGAUUACCAUUCAACAAAAAGACCCUAAAAAAACUCAAAAUAUAUCUUUACUUUUUAACGUUAUACAUUACCCUUUAGUUUUCUUUUUAAGACUCCACAUCCACAUAUCUCAUCAAAAUAUUAUGUAUAUGUAUGUAUGUAUGUAUGUAUUGUAUGUAUAUUAAAAAAUUUAAGUUCCGUAAGGUUUCGCCUCACGCCUCAAGGCUUUCGUUUAGACGGAGCUAUCCAUAACACGCCUCAUCUACGCCUUCGCCUUUUAAAACAUUGAUACUGAUUAACAUUAUUCGUGACAAGGGUACCAUUUAAUUUAGUCAUCUCUCAUACAUACACAUCUUCUCUUUGUUUUUCAAGCUUAAUUAUGGCAGAGUUUGAAAGUGUCAAAUUUUUUAAGAUUUUGAUUUUUGACGUUUAUUUAUCCAGCAAUAUUGCGCACGAAUCUCUGCUUCUGCACAGCUACAAGAGAACCUUCAAUGGCUUUGCUGCCAAGCUAACAGAGGAAGAAGCACAGAAGUUGGCUGGUUGUCUUAUGAACCCAACUUAAUUUUAUUUUUCAACUUGAAUAAACAUUAAAAGUGACCGUUGUAUGACUUGAAAAAUAUAUGCAGGAAUGGAUGGUGUGGUGUCUGUUUUCCCUAGUGAAACUAAGAAGCUCCAAACAACAAGGUCAUGGGACUUCAUUGGGUUUCCUAAAAUAGUGAAGAGAAGCGCCAUUGAAACUGAUAUCAUUGUCGGGGUGAUUGACUCUGGAAUUUGGCCUGAAUCUGCCAGCUUCAGUGACGCCGGGUUUGGUCCACCCCCCAAAAGGUGGAAAGGCGCAUGCAAGGGCGAAGGCAAUUUUACUUGCAACAAGUAAAGCAAACCAGUUUAUUUCAACCAUCCACUGCACAUUUCAAAAAACUAAAAAACAAAACAUCUCGUGUUGUUGUUAAUUACACUUGGACAGAAACAAAAAGUGCGAACUUGAUUUAUAUGAUAUGUUGUCAAAUUGUAACUCUGACUUAAAUAAUAUGACAUACUGUUGUUACACUUGGACAGUAAAAUUAUCGGAGCACGGUAUUACCGCAGUCAACCCUACCCACAAAAUAGCAGUGAUAUCUUGUCUCCGAGGGACACGGAUGGCCAUGGAACCCACACUGCAUCAACAGCAGCAGGGAACUUAGUUAGCAAGGCAAGUCUGUAUGGUUUAGGGUUGGGGACAGCAAGAGGAGGGGUGCCAUCAGCACGCAUUGCGGUGUACAAAGUUUGUUGGUCAGAUGGGUGCCCGGAUGCUGAUAUUCUAGCGGCAUUCGAUGAUGCCAUAGCUGACGGUGUUGACAUACUCUCUGUCUCCCUUGGGGGGUUUAAACCGUUAGAUUAUUUCAGAAAUUCCAUUGACAUUGGAGCUUUUCACGCUUUAAGAAAAGGAAUAUUCACUUCCGCGUCUGCUGGCAAUGAAGGGCCAAACCUGAAAACUAUUACAAACUUUGCACCAUGGUAUCUUGCUGUGGCUGCUAGCACCAUAGAUCGCCACUUUGAUACCAAGGUUCUUGGGCAGAUGGCACUCAGAAUAUUUAUCUAGAGAGAUACUAGAGAAUUGAUUAAACAUGAAAGUUGAUUAUGAUUUGUUUUUGCUUCCUUGGUAGGGAAUAGUAACAAACACAUUUGAACUCAAGGGUAAAUUCUACCCCAUAGUAUAUGCUGCAGACGUUCCAGAUACGGCAGCUGGUUACGAUGGGGAAACAUCCAGGUAUGUGUACGCAUUUUGAGAGUAUAUAUACCAUUUAUAUUGAAGAACCACGGUAGUCUAGCAUAAGUCUAACCAGGUGCUAAUAACAUGGAUAUAUAUAUGGAGCAGGUUAUGCCGAAUAGGCACGUUAGACAAAAAAUUGGUGGAGGGUAAAAUUGUUCUUUGUGAUGGGCCUACUGGGUAUGGGGCUAUAUAUGCAGGCGCAUUUGGUUAUGUUUUGACAAGCCGAAAAGCAGCAGAUGUAAUCGAUCCUGUUCCAAUACCAGCAGCUUCCAUUUGGUUCCACCUUGGUAACGAAAUUGCCCAUUACCUAAACUCAACCAGGUAUCAAUAUUUGAGAAUGACAGUGCAUGAUUGAUUUAAAAUAUUACUAAUGCGCCCGUUUGUUAGAGUAGGGCCCAACGGGCCUGUUGAUCCAAAAAUUCCAGUGAGCUUGUCACCAAGAAGGAAACAAGCCAGGACUCUUAACAAAGAGCCGGCAUCUGAGUUCCUUUAAAAACAAGUCUAGACUCUUAACAUAGAGCUGACCUCCGAGUUUCAAUUGCCGAUGUGUUGAUCUCUACGUAUGAACCACUAAAUGGGGUUACACGUGAGGGGAAGUGUUGGAAUCCUACAUCGAUGGGUGCAAAAGAAAAUAACGGGUUUAAGUAUGAUUGCCCCAUUCUAACUAAUAUCGAGGCCUUCUGUAAUAAAAUCUCACACCUGACGGAUUGGGUAUGUAGUAAAGUUAAGGACAUUAUUAAUGUUGUUAGAGUAGAGCCCAACGGGCCCCCCGAUCCAAAAAUCCAACAAAACUAACAUAAAUCAAAAGACCCCUUUUAUGUUAUUGCUAAUAAAUCCUGAAUCCCUGUAAUGAUUCGCAGGAACCCAACCGCAACAAUUUGGAAAAGUACUGAGGGUAUGGAUGCACUGGCACCAUACGUACCUUCAUUCUCAUCAAGGGGUCCAAAUCCAAACACUCCUAACAUUCUCAAGGUAACUUCAAGGCCCCGUAGGUGUGUGAAUGCUGACUUAAAAAAAUGAACAAACCGAAUCAUGAAUAUUGAGGGGUCUUAAUUUUCCUCCUUGUUUUCUCCUAUAUGUUGCAGCCAGAUAUCGCUUCUCCUGGAGUUUCCAUUCUAGCAGCAUGGUCUCCAAUUGCCCCAGUUUCAGGUUUUGAAGGUGAUGACAGGGUAACUUCAUACAAUAUUAUCUCGGGGACAUCAAUGGCAUGCCCACAUGCUGCGGGCGUGGCUGCAUACGUCAAAUCAUUUCACCCCAAUUGGUCACCUGCUGCUAUCCUGUCAGCUCUUACGACUACUGGUAUAGAUGCAUUUUCAUAAAUGUACCAAUUACAAUACAACCGUUCUCUCACAUAUUUGAUGAGUUGUGUGACCAAUUAUUAUCAGAGAUCAUGUGACCAAGUCUUGUGAGAGAGACACUACAUAUAAUUAGACUUUGACCAUGAUGUACAUUGUAUUACCUAAGAUUUAUAUGUUUGAUUAAUUUGUAACGAUUUUGCAGCCAAACCUAUGAGUGCAAAUCUUAACCCUGAAGCCGAAUUCGCGUACGGUGCUGGCCUACUAAAUCCUAGUAGGUCUCCGUAUCCUGGUUUGGUAUACGACGCUGUUGAAAUCGAUUACGUAAAUUUUUUGUGUGCACAAGGCUAUAGUACCAAAUUAUUGAAAGCUCUUACCGGGGAUAGCUAUAGCUGCUCAUCAUCACAAUCUAGUCAUGGAACACUCAGUGAUCAUCUAAACUAUCCUUCUGUUGCACUUUCCACCUCGAACCCUAAAUCCGUCAAAGGCAUUUUCAAUAGGACCGUCACAAAUGUUGGAUCACCAAAGUCCACAUAUAAAGCUAAAGUGAGUGCACCACCAGGACUUGAAAUCAAAGUUAAUCCAAGCGUUCUAAAGUUCACAUCUCUCGGGCAGAAGCUAUCGUUUCAAGUCAUGGUGAAAGGGUUGAUUGAAAAAACCAUAGUCUCUGGUUCUCUGGUGUGGGAUGAUGGUAAAUUCCAAGUGAGGAGCCCCAUUGUUGUGUAUUUUGUGUUUUGAGAACAAUAUGUGUAAUAAUGUAUGAUGCAUGAAUAAGCAAUUGCAUGAAACUAGAUAGGGCUUCAAUGAAACAAAAUUGCAACAUAUUGAUCACGAUGAUGUAUUUUAAAUGAAAACUAAAUUAUUAUAUAUUUAUGAACCUUUAAUAUGAUGUAGUACAUCGAAGUACAUUGAAAUUUGAAACGUACCCAUUUAAGGAUAUUUUAUAGCUCUCUAUGCAAUCUAAUUGUAUAUUUGAUAGUUCAUUUUUGGUCUGCAUGGGAAAUAUGGAUUUUCUCCUAUGUUGAUUACUUGAUUGAAGGCCCCAUCCCUCGUUGCCCGUUUAUACAGGUUGUACCUAUCACUAAAUCAAGUUAUCAACGAGACUUUAGUCGGAACCUUCCUGAUUAAAAACAAAAGACCGAAAAACUUCGGUGGGGACAUUUGCAAACAACGACGUAUACACAUGAAAAAUAUCAGAGUAGCAUCAUGUAUCGGUGGCAUAAAAAUCUUUACGCACCCACGUGUUCUAGAUGUUGGCACAUGAUCAUGCAUCGAUAGAUAUACGUAUGCACAAUGCAUGCCCUACCAUGCAAAUUAUGCCAAGAACAACAAUCAAUCGAGUGACCAGUGGUGGGAGAGCUAGGAAUAUUAGCAAGCUGCAUUUUCUCAAUUCCCACUCUCACUUGUUUGAGCAUACCGACUAAGAUGCUUGUUUCUUGACUUGUGGAUGUAUCCCAAGGUCAAUAUGGAUGCAUGGCAUGCGAUGUACGUCAGGAGGUUUUUCUUCUUUUCAAAAGCAGUAUAUGUUGGAAAAGUUAGACAUGGAAUUGAUACCACAGUUAAUAUGCUUUUGUACCUCAUUCCCUAUAACCAAAAAUUGCUUCAAGUAAAAAUUACCUUAUUUCGCAACAUUUCUUCAACUGGCUACUGGCUCUCUAGUUUUUCAAUUGUCAUCAUGGUCCAAGUACCUAAGCUGGGUCGGAUCAUUUUCUUCUUUGAGCAGAAGGACGUUAACCAUCGGAUUACCCUCGAUGAUUGCACAUGUUAUGCACUAAGAAAAGGUUGCAAGCGGUUAUUUGCUUGUAGAGCUACCGGCUGCCUUAUAGUACAAACUAGAAAGUUCUACCCGAACGUUGCUGCAGGAUUAAAAAUUGUGUAAAAAAAAUUAUGUUUCAAAGGUAUAAACCUAUCAACUUGUAUCACAUCUAACUGAACUACAACAACAUAUUGAAACACUUAAUAUGAAAUUCAUAAGCUAUUUGACAAUAUGAAAUCAAGCAAUUAUUGAAAAUCAGAAACGGAGCUUAGAAAGUAAAAAAUCCUACCUCAUUAUAUUAAAACAAUUAACAAAUUCUCGGUGAAUGAUCACAAAAAAUGCUCAGUUCUCACCAUAAUGAAAAUUAUGACAUCGUUUUAACAUGAACUCGAGUUCAUUUUAGUCACCAGCAUUAAUAAAACAAGUGACUUCAACCUGUGCAAGGAAACAACUGACUUAGACGCAAGCCAACCAACUUUGAAUCUAACCAAAUAAAAAAAGUAAUCACAAUCGAACUAACCUCUUCUUCCCAAAUGAAGUAGAUGUCCCCUGUUUUGCCAUUGUGAACAGUGUACUCUACUCUCAACACACAAAAAGAACACACUCAAAUUGCUGAGCAAUAUUAUAAAAGCUACACAUACAUCAUUGUAUAUAUAUUUGGACAUAAAGUAUAAAGAUCUGCUGACAGUAUCAAGCUUAAAUUUAACAAAAGCAGUAAUUACGAAUUGAAAUCAAACGAUAAUAUGGUUGUUAAAAAAAAUUCUAACUAAAUUUUACAAAUAGCAUCAUAAAUGUUAAAAAAAAAUAACACCAUUGAAAAAACUCAUUACUCAAAUAUGUAAUUCUAUAAAAACACAUCACUGAAAACUUCAAUUUCAUGUCAACCUAUAUCACAUCCAAAACCCAUUAAUAAUCUCUUCUUGUGUAUAGCUUGUCCUCAGAAUUCGCAGCUGAAAACGGAAUGUAAGUUCAGAGUAUGAUGAAAAAGAAGAAAUGAAAGAGUUGUGUCAAUGAAAAAAAAUGAGAGAGCGGGUAUCAGAACAAUCUACAAAGAAGAAGAAUUUGAGAUAAAUAAGUGGAUAAAUUGCUUACAUGAAGAGCUGAUUUCAAAUCGAUGAUCCAUUUCUCACCCAAAUAAUAUUUAACAAUUGCAAUUAGUAAAAUUUUCUUGAUAAGAUGAAAUCUAGGAGCAUAAUAAUAAGCAUUAGAAAUAGAAAAGCCUUAUAUGGUGAUUAAGGCCCUUAAUUAACUUGCGAAGCUUGAAAAGUCAUUCUCUUCACGUGGUUAAUUUGGAAGUUAUCCAAUGUAUGUAAAAACAUGAAUCAGAAGCAAAUUGAUGAAAUCGGAGGGAAAAAAUGUUACUUAGUAAUUGUAUAUGUUAUGAAGGCAUCAAAUAAAGUCCUGAUAAAAUACCAGCAUCUUUAUAUUAACCACUUUACAUAUAAAUUAUAAAUGAUUAUCAAACAUCCUUAAACAAAUUUCAUUUAGGGAAGACUGAUGAGGGAACUCCGCCUAUGUAAUUUUACAUUGCCGGUCCCAAGCCCGGAUAAAGGAGGAGGGGGAGGGCGUCAGGUAGUCGACAGCCUGCACUCCAUGAUCACGUCGAAUCCUUAUGAAAAUGAAUCCAGAACAAAAUCGCGCUAAAGCUAGGGCGUCACCCGUAAGUGGCGCGCUGUGUGGCCCGAGCACAGUGAUAAGUGAGCAAGGGUCGCUGUAUCUCCAUCGGCACCCGGAUGCAGUGUUAAAUGAGCAAGGGGGCCGUAGAAACUUCUUUUCGAACGACUCCACUCAAAGUUGUUUGGGAGCAUAUGCUCCUAUCAACUUUACACGGGACACACAAAAGAAGUACUUUGAUCCUAUUAGACGGGGGAGGGUGAAGAAGCUAGGACAGAAGGGUAGAGUUCAAGAGAGCAAAAUGCGUUUAGGAACGUGGAAUAUAGGAACCUUAACGGGAAAAUCUAUGGAAGUAGUGGAAGUUAUGGUGAGGAGAAGGAUAAAUAUUAUGUGCCUACAAGAAACUAAGUGGGUUGGUAGUAAGGCAAAUGAUCUAGAAAACUCAGGGUUUAAACUUUGGUAUUCGGGCACAAAUAGAACGAGAAACGGUGUUGGCAUCAUCGUGGACAAGACCUUGACACAAGAUGUUGUAGAUGUCAAGAGGGUAGGAGAUAGAAUCAUGGCAAUCAAGAUUGUAAUAGGACAAGAACUUAUCAAUGUGAUUAGUGCGUACGCACCUCAAGUAGGGUUGGAUACGAGUUCGAAGGAGAAAUUUUGGGAAGACCUUGGAGACUUGGUGCAAGGAAUUGCUCAGACGGAGAAGUUAUUUAUAGGAGGAGAUCUAAAUGGACACGUGGGCAGGGAGACAGGCAACUAUGGAGGUUUUCAUGGUGGCCAUGGUUUUGGAGAGAGAAACGAGGAUGGGGAAGCUAUCUUGGAUUUUGCAAUGGCAUAUGAUCUCUUCUUAGCCAACACCUUCUUUAAGAAGAGAGAAGAACAUGUGAUCACCUACAAGAGUGGGUCGUCAAAAACACAAAUAGAUUUUCUUCUAAUGAGGAAAGGGGAUCGUAUAACUUGUAAGGAUUGCAAAGUUAUACCAGGAGAGAGCGUGGCUAAUCAACAUCGCUUGUUGGUGAUGGAUGUACAUAUCAAAAGAGGGAGACAAAAGAACAAGACUUGGAAGUGCCCAAGGACUAGAUGGUGGAAUCUAAAAGAAGAAAAACAAGCCAUUUUCAAAGAGAAGGUAAUCACCCAAUGUGUGUGGGAUAGAGAGGGGGAAGCUAGCCAAAUGUGGGAUUCCAUGGCUAGUUGUAUCCGAAAAGUAGCAAAAGAGGUAUUAGGAGAGUCCAAGGGCUUUGCCCCACACCAAAAGGAAUCUUGGUGGUGGAAUGAGGAGGUACAAACAAAGGUGAAGGCUAAGAAGGAAUGUUGUAAAGCCUUAUACAAGGAGAGGACCGAUGAAAAUGGUGAAAGGUAUAGAAAAGCGAAGCAAGAGGCGAAGAAAGCGGUCAGAGAAGCUAAGUUAGCGGCUUACGACGAUAUGUAUAAACGACUAGAUACCAAAGAAGGAGAGUUGGAUAUCUAUAAAACUAGCUAGAGCAAGGGAAAAGAAGACAAGGGACCUAAACCAAGUGAGGUGCAUCAAGGAUGAGGAUGGAAAGGUUCUUGCUACAGAGAACGCGGUUAAAGACAGAUGGAGAGGUUAUUUUCAUAAUAUUUUCAAUGAAGGACAUGAAAGGAGUGCUUCUUUAGGGGAGUUGAGUAACUCAGAAGAGUGUAGAAACUACUCUUUUUAUCGUCGAAUCCGGAAGGAAGAAGUGGUUGUAGCUUUGAAGAAGAUGAAGCAUAGAAAAGCAAUAGGCCCAGACGAUAUACCAAUUGAAGUGUGGAAAGUUUUGGGAGAGACAGGUAUAACAUGGCUCACUGACCUUUUCAAUAGGAUUUUGAAAACAAAGAAGAUGCCAAAUGAGUGGCGAACGAGCACUUUGGUGCCUAUCUACAAGAAUAAGGGCGACGUACAAAAUUGCAUGAACUAUAGGGGUAUUAAGUUAAUGAGUCAUACAAUGAAGCUCUGGGAGAGAGUCAUUGAGCAUAGAUUGAGGCAAGAGACACGGGUUUCGGACAACCAAUUCGGGUUCAUGCCAAGGCGCUCAACCAUGGAGGCAAUCUAUCUCUUACGAAGAUUGAUGGAAAGAUAUAGAGAUGGGAAAAAGGAUUUACACAUGGUCUUUAUAGAUUUGGAAAAAGCGUAUGAUAGGGUCCCAAGAGACAUUCUUUGGAGGAUCUUAGAGAAGAAAGGAGUACGAGUAGCAUAUAUCCAAGCUAUAAAGGAUAUGUAUGAAGGAGCAAAGACUGCCGUAAGAACUCAUGAAGGACAAACCGAAAGCUUUCCCAUAACUGUAGGAUUACAUCAAGGCUCAUCCUUAAGUCCUUACCUUUUUGCGUUGGUAAUGGAUGAGUUAACAGGACAUAUUCAAGAUGAUAUUCCUUGGUGUAUGCUUUUCGCAGACGAUAUAGUGUUGAUAGAUGAAACUCAGGAAGGGGUAAAUGCAAAGCUUAACCUUUGGAGAGAAGUGUUGGAAUCUAAAGGUCUUCGCCUAAGCCGAUCAAAGACAGAAUAUAUGGAGUGCAAGUUCAGUGCAGAUGGAGGCCAAAACGAGUUAGGGGUGAGGAUCGGAGAUCAAGAAAUACCAAAGAGCGACCGUUUUCGUUACCUAGGAUCUAUCUUGCAAAAGAACGGAGAAUUAGAUGGAGAUCUCAACCAUAGAAUACAAGCUGGAUGGAUGAAGUGGAAGAGUGCAUCUGGCGUGUUGUGUGAUCGCCGUAUGCCAUUGAAGCUCAAGGGAAAAUUUUAUAGGACGGCAAUAAGGCCGGCGAUGCUGUAUGGCACAGAAUGUUGGGCGGUGAAGCAUCAACACGUACACAAAAUGGGUGUAGCGGAGAUGAGGAUGCUUCGUUAGAUGUGUGGGCACACGAGAAAGGAUAAAAUUAGGAAUGAGGAUAUCCGGGGUAAAGUAGGAGUAGCCGAAAUUGAAGGAAAGAUGAGAGAAAAUCGGUUACGGUGGUUUGGACAUGUGCAAAGAAGGCCUACUGACGCUCCGAUUAGAAGAUGCGACUAUGGGACAGAGGUUCAGGGCCGAAGGGGUAGAGGAAGACCUAGGAAAACUUUGGAAGAGACUCUAAGAAAAGACUUAGAGUACUUGGAUCUAACGAAGGACAUGACACAGGACCGAGCACAAUGGGACGUUCUAAGGCGUUCUAAUUCAUAUAGCCGAUCCCACUCAGUGACUUGGAUUUUCCAAGUCUCCAACCGAGAAGUUUUCCUCACUCGAAAAAUUAAGGGAACACUACCCCAACCUACAUGCUCCACUCAGAAAGCUUCAACAUACAAGCUUCAACAAAAGAAAAUUCAAAAGAACUUAGUGAAGAAGGCUUUGGUGUAUUUAACACAAUACGUUGAAAUGAAGGAAAACUUAUUUAUUGAUAUCCCCGAUAAGCUACAAAUAUGUACAUAUACAUGAGUCAAAAUAAACAAACAAGAUGGAGCCUUCACAAAGGUUGCUUAGGAGAAGUCUCAGCAGUCGGUAGAGCCCCAGAAAGAGAAGGCAUCGGAGGGGGAUCAUUCGGAGCCUCAGUACUGGACAGAACCCUAGAAGGAGGAGGCAUCAGAGGUUGAUCAUUUGGAGCUUCAUUACGCGGUACAGCCCCAGAAGACGAAGGCAAUAAAUGCCUUUGGAACAAACCCACAAAUCUCUGAUGAUCAAGUAAAACCUGACCAUCAGUUUCCUUCAUCUGGUCAAGCUUCCUCUUUCAUGUUUGUAGCAUAGUCAUGUGCGAGCCGGUGCAACUGUUUAUUCUCAUGCUUGAGCCCUCUAAUCUCCUGUUUGAGACUCAUCACUUCGGCCGCCAAUGAUUUCAACUUGGCGGGUUCGAGCAAAUAUAGGCGUUGGGCCAUAUUAGACACAGAACCUGCACACUGAACACUGAGAGCCAGUGAAUCCUUAACAGCUAACUCAUCAGACCGUUUGGAAAGUAGUCUGUUAUCUUUGGGAGUGAGAAGGUUCCUGGCCACCACCGCAGCGGUCAUAUCAUUCUUCAUCACGGAAUCCCCAACGGUAAGAGGACCAGUAGGGGAGACGAAGGAUGGGCGCCAUAUGUUGUCUGGAGAAGGCGGGGCUGCCUCUUCAACAAGGUUCAAGUCAAAACGACGGUCGGAGGGGCCAGACAUUUUCAAAGGGUAUUGAAGAGAGAAGAGGUCGGACAAAUCAAGAUCUUAGAAGUGCAAGAAUGGAGCUUCUACUGGUGGAGAUUCAAGUGUGCUUUGGAACUUAAUGCCAGCCCCUAUAAAAAGCUGCACUCGACGGAGCUUCAGACAUCGAAGAGGCGCCUGCUCAGAAAUCGAAGAGGCGUUUGCUUUCUCAAAAGCUGGGCUGCUUAGAGACCACGAGGGUUGAUCUCAUAAAUCGAAGAGGUGUCUGCUUUCUCAAAAGUUGGGCUGCUCAAAGACCACGAAAGCCGAUAUCAGAAAUCGAAGAGGCGCUCGCUUCCUCAAAAGCUGGGCUCCUCAGAGACCACGAGGGCCGAUCUCAGAAAUCGAAGAGGCACCUACUUUUCCAGCCUUGUCAGCACCUGUCACACGCACACUCAACUUUGCGGAAAUUAUGGGUAUUCUGUUGAAGACUUCUGGGGAAGUAGAAAACACAUGAAUCUUACUGUCCAAUCACCCACUUCCCACACGCAGCAAUAGCUCAUGGGUACCACAGAUAACUUUGCCAAAGUUCUCUGCCAAAGUUGAGCACGUGAAGCUUGCAGCUCCCACUACAUCGCUCUGACCAAUAAGGGUAAAAGAAUAGCAAAGAAACAGCACUAACAAAGUUUAGACCCAUAAAUUUUGAAGGUCUAGCUACCAUAUUAUUACCCACAAGGGUAAAGGAACAGUACCACUGUUGGAUAAUUGGAAAGUCCCUGUGUGUCAACCUCUGUGCCUCGUGGCAAGGUAGACUAGCAAACAUGCCCAACCUUUACUCACAUUCGAGAAAACACUCCCAAUAAGAUUGCUUGCUCCAAAAUCGAAGAGGCACCGUCCUCCGAAUCUCGAGAGCCAGACUCCCAACAUGACUACUUUCUCAAAAAUCGAAGAGAGGGUAAAGGAAACAGUACCAUUGCUGGAUAAUUGGAAAGUCCCUGUGUGUCAACCUCUGUGCUUCGUGGCAAGGUAGACUAGCAAACAUGCCCAACCUUUACUCUCACAUUCGAGAAAAACACUCCCAACAAGAUUGCUUGCUCCCAAAAUCGAAGAGGCACCGCCCUCCGAAUCUCGAGAGCCAGACUCCCAACAUGAUUACUUUCUCAAAAAUCGAAGAGACACUGCUCCCCGAAUCUCGAGAGCCAGACCCCCACCCCCAACAUGAUUGCUUUCUCAAAAAUCGAAGAGGCAUCGUUCUCCCGAAUCAAUCGAAGAGGCGCUCGCUUUCUCUCAAAAGCUGGGCUGCUCAGAGACCACGAGGGCCAAUCUCAGAAAUCGAAGAGGCACCUUCUUUUUCUAGCCUUGUCAGCACCUGUCACACGCACACUUAGCUUUUGCGGAAAUUAUGGGCAUUCUGUCGAAGACUUCUGGUGAAGUAGAAAGCACAUGAAUCUUACUGUUCAAUCACCCACUUCCCACACGCAACAAUAGCUCAGGGGUACCACAGAUAACUUUGUCAAAGUCUCUGCCAAAGUUGAGCACGUGAAGCUUGCAGCUCCCACUACAUCGCUCUGACCAAUAAGGGUAAAAGAAUAGCAAAGAAACAGCACUAACAAAGUUUAGACCCAUAAAUUUUGAAGGUCUAGCUACCAUAUUAUUACCCACAAGGGUAAAGGAACAGUACCAUUGCUGGAUAAUUGGAAAGUCCCUGUGUGUCAACCUCCGUGCUUCGUGGCAAGGUAGACUAGCAAACAUGCCCAACCUUUACUCACAUCCGAGAAAACACUCCCAACAAGAUUGCUUACUCCAAAAUCGAAGAGGCACCGCCUUCCGAAUCUCGAGAGCCAGACUCCCAACAUGAUUACUUUCUCAAAAAUCGAAGAGACACUGCUCCCCGAAUCUCGAGAGCCAGACCCCCACCAUGAUUGCUUUCUCAAAAAUCGAAGAAGCAUCGUUCUCCGAAUCUCGAGAGCCAGAUACCACAUACCACUUUUUCAAAGUGCUCUGACAGAGUUAAAACAUGUGAAGCUGGCAGCUCCCACUACCGUGCUAUGACCAAGCAGGGUAAAGGAAUAGCAUUACUACUUGUUGUUAGGGAGACUCCUAUAUAUGUCGACCUCCAUCCCCAACGGACAGGCAGACCUGCAAAAAUGCUCAACCCUUCCUCAUAUCUGAGAGGGCACUCCCAACGAAGCCUUUCGAAAUAUUCAGCUUUCUUUCCCCCCGAUAAUACCUUUGCAAACAAGCUAUACUAGAGCAAGAAUAUCUCAUAUCAUCAGGGUUAAAAGCAAGAGUAUCCCAUAUCAUGCUUUUUCCCUGUCUUUUCCUUUGGCCUUGUUUUUACCUGCAAGACAAGGAGAAAGAGAGCAAUCAGUCAGCACUUGAAAUCAAGCUUCCAGCCAGGAACUGACAGCCUGGAACCCCUUACCUGAUUACUUACCUGGCAUUGCUCUCGAGUACUCAUCUUCAACAUCUUAUGUUGCCAGGGAAGAUACCGCAUCUGCUUGAGGAACAGAUAGGGCAAGUGCGAAGGAUACAAGGAAGCAUGUGGAGACAAGCGUAACAGCACACGUGCCGAUCCAUCCAUUACUCUGUCAAAAGCAAAAGUAUCCCAUAUCAGCAGGGCCGAACGUACUCUAGAUUUGAUGGACUUGUUUUGACCCUCAAAUUCUUCAGUCGGCCUUAUACUCUGGAGGAAACCAGAAAACCCUCCAGCUCAGUUCAAGAAUAAGCCUGUGGAAAGUUACUUCUUCAAAAGCAAAAGUAUAUCCCAUAUCAUCUCUUCUCAUUUUUCUUCUCUUUAUCCUUCAUGCUGCUGCAAGAUGGGGAGAAGGUGAACAAUCAGCCGGAGCUCUGAUUGCUUACCUUGUCUGUCACCUCUUUCAGCAAAUCCCCUAGCUCGGCGACUUGGGGGACUCCUACUACAUGGUUUGUAUCGCGCUUGACCAAGCCUGAAACUACAAGUAAGCUUCAAGUGAAAUUGAUACAUUACCUAGUGCAUCUCCACCAGUUAAAGAUACCACCCCUGGAUGGAGGAAGAGUACUUCCAGAGAGCUGCCACAUCUACCUAUGAGACAGAUAAGGCAAGUCAAGAUGAUACCACACUCCGAUACUUAGAAGUUUCGUGAUUACGAGAUCAUUCUCCCACAAUAUUUCCUAAUGUCAUUUGUACUCACUAAAGGAGAGCUUGAACCUAUGUACUUGUGUAAACCCUUCACAAUUAAUGAGAACUCUUCUAUUCCGUGGACGUAGCCAAUCUGGGUGAACCACGUACAUCUUGUGUUUGCUUUCCUAUCUCUAUCCAUUUAUAUACUUAUCCACACUAAUGACCGGAGCAAUUUAGCGAAGAUCACAAAAAGCGACCGUUUUCGCUACCUAGGAUCUAUCUUACAAGAGAACGGAGAAUUAGAUGGAGAUCUCAACCAUAGAAUACGAGCUGGAUGGAUGAAGUGUAAGAGUGCAUCCAGCAUGUUGUGUGACCGUCGUAGGCCACUGAAGCUCAAGGGAAAAUUUUAUAAGACGGCAAUAAGGCCAGCGAUAUUGUAUGGCACAGAAUGUUGGGCGGUGAAACAUCAACACGUACACAAAAUGGGUGUAGCAGAGAUGAGGAUGCUUCGUGGGAUGUGUGGGCACACGAGAAAGGAUAAGAUUGAGAAUGAGGAUAUCCGAGGUAAAGUAGGAGUAGCCGAAAUUGAAGGAAAGAUGAGAGAAAUCGGUUUUGGUGAUUUGGACAUGUGCAAAGAAGGCCGACUGACGCUCUGGUUCGAAGAUGUGACUACGGGACAGAGGUUCAGGGCCGAAGGGGUAGAGGAAGACCUAGGAAAACUUUGGAAGAGACUCUAAGAAAAGGCUUAGAGUACUUGGAUCUAACGGAGGACAUGACACAAAACCAAGCGCAAUGGCGUUCUAGGAUUCAUAUAGCCGACCCCACUUAGUGGGAAAAGGCUUUGUUGUUGUUGUUGUUGUUGUUGUUGAAGACUGAUGAGGGGAUAUACGACUCACAAACAACUGAGACUGUCCUUUUUUUUUUCUUCUUUUUUUCAUAUCAACAAACACACAAAUUCUUAUAUUUCCGAAAGCACUUGCAUCCCAACAUAAAAACUUAAAUAAUACAUGAAUCAUCGAUGUUUUGCUUUGCAAACAGCCAAGGGGAUGGGAACUAAAAUAAAUUUCGUGACCAAGAACCUCUUAAAAACCAAGCUUGAAAGCAUAAAAACAAAGCUUUCAAUCUUUCUGUGCAAAUUAAUAUCAUAAUCAAUUCAACCACAUUUCCGCAAUCCAAAGCUUCAAACUUCAUACAAAAAUACAAUAAUUUUUAGAAUUUCACCCAAACAUAAAGAGAAUAAUAUUGUUAGGUGCGGAGAAGAAAAAACCAGGGAAAAAUGGAAGAUGGAUUUUAGCCUGGAAAAGCAAUUCACAGCAACAAUAAAAAGGUGAAAUUAAAAACUCAAUUGAAUCAAAUGAAGAAUUUUCUAGAGUGCAAACAAUUAGUGUUAUCAGCAAGAAGUUUCAGACCAUAAAAUGCAAAAGCAUGUGCCCAAAAUGCAAUCCUAUAAAACAUGAAACAGCAGCCAUAAGAUAAUCGGAAAUUUUCUAAUAAAAUGAACCGAAGACCAACUUUGAAUAAUUGGUAACGAUGAGGCUUUGACAUUGAUAGAGUGUGUAUGAGAGAGAGAGAGAGAGAGAGAGAGAGAGAUGGAAAUAGAGUUAGAAUUAGACCAAUGCAGAAAUCAACCUUAAGAUUCCCUCUGGGUCAAAUGGUUGCACCAUUGAUGAGAAACAGUCGGUCGGUAGAGGUUGAUAGUAGGAGAACUAACAUUGCAUUCCUGAAACACAAAGGAUUAACCUUUUUCAAUUAUCAUCAGUGAAUGCACUAAUACAGGACUUAAAUUCUGAUAUAUUCAAUAAUCUAGUUGUAAGAACUAUAUCACAGAUCAAAGAUAUGCCAGUAAGUUACCAAUACUCCAACAAUCGAACUAAGUGACAAAACUACAAACACGAAUAUGAAACCAAUGGAAAACAUACCUGCAGAACUUGAACUCGAAGAAGCCAUAGCAGCUUCACAACCAAGCAAUCUUCUCCUCUUUAGCAAAACUAGAAAACUCUCUGAAUAAUAGGUAUUCAAUACAAGAUGAGCCGUGUCUUUGCAAGAGCAGUGAUUGAGGUUAUAUACAACAUUAAUCCAACUCAUUCUCCUAUUAGAAUUAGUGUUGAACUCUAAAACAAAACCUUUUCACACAAUGAGUGUACAAGAUCAAUUAGUGUAGGAUCCGAAACCUUUUCCAGAGGAACACUAAAAGCACUCAUAAUCCUACAAGGACGAGGAUUCAACCAAACACCUUAUCAAGACUUUUCCAUUCAAGAAUUCAUCCAAUAUUAUAGCUAAUCCUCAAACAUGUUUCAUACUCAUAUUCCAACAUUCUCCCACUUGAGUAUGAAGACAUAAUGAUUAACUAAAUGAAUGAUGGAAGUGAUCACUAAGUCUAAUCAUAAGGCUCGCAAUUUCGUAUUCAAACUCACCUAUGCAAUUCAAAAUAUGGAACUCUUGAAUUCUAUCUGCACAAUUUCAGAUUUCAUCCAAGAAUUACAACAUAUCCAAGUUUGCAUGUUGUAACUGUACGAAUCAAUAAUCACAGUAAUGCCAAUACUCAUUACUCCCACUGAUUUAUGCCAAUUUUAACCCAAUCACAGUUAAAAUCUCAGCAAACAAUCAAAACAACAACCAUUCAAAACAGAACAGUACUCUAAAUAGUUCCAAAGUAUACCUCAGCAAAAUCACAAACUGAUUCACUAGCAAACUCAAACUAUUCUUAUUUCAAUACUAGCUUUCUGAAACAAUCAAUCACUAAAACGAAAAAAAAUUGAAUACUGAUGAAAACAAAAAUAAAAGUCAAGCUGGAAAAUUAGCUAGAUAAAGAUACCAGCUUGUCACAACUAAUUGAACUCGAGAAAUCUUCAAUUGCGGCAACAUAUAACCACUGCAGCCUUAAAAUAAUCCCAAAACCUGAUCACUGCUCACUCCCACUUAUCAAAAGAUUCUAACACUCCCAUUUUAGUAACAUGUGCCUUAAACGCAUUGUUUGGCAAGGCUUUAGUAAGAGGAUCAGCAAUCAUCUUUUCAGUAGGCAAAUAUAGAAUUUCGAUCUCUCCUUUUUUCACCAUUUCUCUGACUUUAAGAAACUUCACAUCCAUUAGUCUUGACGCUGAGGUUCUCUUAUUGUUCUUGGAGAAAAACACUGCAGCAUUAUUGUCACAAAACAUCUUUAAAGGCCUUUUAACUGAGUCAACAAUUCUCAUCUCAGCCACAAAGUUUCUCAACCAUACUGCUUGUUUCAUUCCUUCAAAACACGCAACGAAUUCAACUUCCAUUGUAGAAGUAGACACUAUUGUUUGCUUAGCACUUUUCCAGGAGAUAGCACCAUCAUUUAGCAUAAAGAUGUAUCCCCCAGUUGAUUUCCUCUCAUCUACGUCCCCAGCAAGAUCUGAAUCUGUAGACCCAACCAAUUCUAAGGUAUCAUCUCUGCCAUAAACUAAUUGAUAAGCUUUUGUUCUCUGCAUGUAUCGUAAUACUUUCUUUGCAGCCACCCAAUGAGAUUCUCCUGGAUUUGUUUGAAACCUUCCUAACAUUCCAACAAUGAAUGCUAAGUCAGGCCUCGUACAAAUAUUAGCAUACAUAAUGCUUCCAACUAAUGAGGCAUAAGGCUUCAACUUCAUCAAUUCGACCUCAUUCUCAUUCUUGGGACAUUGAUCUCUAGAAAACUUGUCACCUUUAUUAACUGGAAUUUGCCUUAUUGCAUUUCUCCAUAUUAAAUCUGUUCAAUACCCUUUCAAUGUAUCCCUUUUGAGACAGCCCCAGAAGCUUUCUUUUUCUGUCUCUUGUUAUUUCAAUCCCCAGAACAUAAUGUGCUUCCCCUAAAUCCUUCAUUUCAAAAUUGGUACUCAGAACAGUCUUCGUCUCUCGAAGUAAUUGCAUAUCGGAACUUGCAAGUAGAAUAUCAUCAACGUAUAGGACCAGAAAAAUGAACUUUGAUCCUUUGUGUUUUAAAUAUAUGCAAUCAUCCAUCUUGUUCUCAACAAAACCAUGAGCAGUAACUACCUGAUCAAAUUUGAGGAACCACUGCCUAGAUGCUUGUUUAAGUCCAUAAAUUGACUUGUUUAGCUUGCAGACCAUAUUAUCUUUCCCCUUUCAGAAAAUCCAGGAGGUUGGACCAUGUAUAUGUCUUCCUCUAAAUCACCAUUCAGAAAGGCGGUUUUAACAUCCAUCUGGUGUAGCUCUAGAUCAAAAUGAAAUGUCAAAGCCAUGAUGAUCCUCAUAGAAUCUUUGGAAGAAACAGGUGAAAACGUGUCAUUGUAAUCAAUCCCUUCUCUCUGAGUAAAGCCUUUGGCUACUAACUGAGCCUUGUAUCUCUCUAUGCUCCCUGCAGCAUCCCUUUUAGUUUUGUAGACCCACUUGCAACCUAUUGGUUUAGCAUUUGAAUUGGAGUUCACAAGGGUCCAUACUUUGUUCUUGGCCAUGGAAUCUAGCUCUUCCAUCAUCGCUUUCUUCCAUAAUGCAGCUUGAGAACAUUGAAUUGCUUGUUGAUAAGUGGCUGGAUCAUCUAUAUCACCUAUGUCGAAUUCUGCCUCUUGGAGAUAGACAUAAUCGGUUGAAAUUGCAGGUUUCUUGGCUCUACUUGAUUUCCUCAGAUUCAAUUGAUCAUUUACUGGACAUGUAUCUUUCUCAAUGGGAGAACUUGGAGCACUUAGGGGUAUAUUUCUUGCAGAAAAGGUAUCUCCAUGUUCAUUUUGUAUUUCAGCAACUAUUUCAUGUGUCAUCUCUUCAUCAAGAUCUUCUUCCUCUGUCUGAUUUCUAGGCAACACUGAAAUAUGGUUGUAGGCCAUUGGAACCGAGCCAACGAGUUGUUCUGAUUCUUCAAACUCAAAAGUGUCAUGCACUAAGUCUGAUACAUCUUGGUCUUCUAAGAAAACUGCAUUGUAAGUCUCUUGAAUUCUUGUCUGUGCUCGAGGACAAUAAAAUUUAAAACCCUUCGAUUUCUCUGAAUAUCCCACAAAGUAGCAUGAACUGGUUCUAGAAUCGAGCUUCCUUUCAUUUGGGUUGUAAAACCUAGCUUCUGCUUUGCAACCCCACACAUGAAAAUGAUGAAAACUUGGUGUUCUGCCAGUCCAUAGCUCAAAAGGUGUUUUUGGCACUGAUUUUGUAGGCACUCGGUUCAACACAUAGUUUGAUGUCCUCAAUGCUUCGCCCCACAGAAAACCAGGCAGCUUAGAUCUUGAAAUGAGACUUCUAACCAUUCCCAUCAAGGUUCGGUUUCUUCUCUCAGCCACUCCAUUCUGUUGGGGUUUUCCUGGAGUAGUAUACUGAGCCACAAUGCCUUGUAACUCAAGAAAUCGUGCAAACGGACCCUUCUGUUGCCCUGCUUCUGUGUGCCUGCCAAAAUAUUCUCCUCCCCUAUCUGAUCUAACAAUCUUAAUUUCAAGAUUUAGUUGUUUUUCUACUUCACAUUUAAAAACUUUAAAACACUCAAUGACUGCUGACUUUUCUUUUAUUAGAAAAAUGGAACCAUGUCUGGAGUAGUCAUCUAUAAAACUCACAAAAUAUGAAUUUCCACAAAUGGUUUUGACAGGAAAAGGUCCACAAACAUCUGUGUGUAUGAUCUCAAGUAAAUUUUUACUUCUAUUUGCAUCCAAUUUCCUAACAUUGGUGGUUUUACCUUUCAUACAAUCAAUGCAAUCAGAUGCAUCAUUAAAAUCUAAUGCAGGUAUAAAGUUUAACUUUGACAAUUGCAUGAUCCUAUCUUUUGAAAUGUGUCCUAGUCUUUUGUGCCACAACAUAUAGGAAUUGUCAAAGUUAUGCAUUCUUUUGGCAGUUGUGUUCAAAAUACUUAAUUCAAUAUUUAAUACCGUGCACUGCAUUUUCCACAAAUGAUCAUGCAAAAUAGCCUUUCCUAUUAGAGACCCUCUACUGAAAAAUUUCAUGCAUUCUUUGUUACCUAUGAAGGUGACACCUUCAUUUACUAACCUAGAUGCAGAUAUUAGAUUUCUCCUCAUUGCAGGCACAUAUAACACAUUUGACAAUUCUAACACAAAACCAAAAGACAAUUUGAGUUUUACCUUUCCUAUGGACUCAACUAUGACUCUGGUUCCUUCACCAACAUAAACAUUAUAUGCAUUUGCUUGUUUCUGUUUUUCAAAACCAUGCAGUGAAUUUGUUAUAUGCACAGAUGCACCAGUAUCAAACCACCAAGAAUUUGCAGGAAUUUCAAUGAGAUUUGAUUCCUCACAGACAUAUACAUUAGUCCUACCCUUAGCCCUCAGCCAUUCCUUGAAUAUUUCACAAUCCUUUCUAUAAUGACCUUUAGUUUUGCAAUGGUGACACCUAACCUUUUCUAUGUUUUUACUUUUGACCUUAAAAUUGUUAGAUUUAGAGGAGUUGAAAUUCUUAGCAGGCACAUAAGAUUUAUCAAGGUGUUUGGGUUUAGAAGUAUUACCAAAAUUUGCAUUGAAGUCUUUCUUUCGAGAUGUCUGCACAAAAUUGACAGCCUCAACUUCUUUUCCUCUAUCCAUCUUCUGUCGAUUUUCCUCUUGAACACACUGAGAUAUAAGCUCAUCCACUGACCAUGACUUAUCUUGAGUGUUGUAGGAGACUUUCAGUUGACUGAACUUCAAAGGAAGUGCUUGCAGGAUCAUGAACACCAGCUGUUUCUCACAAAUAUUCAUAUCUAAUGAAUUGAGUUUUUCAGCCGCAUCUGUCAUCUUCAUAAUAUGAUCUCUUAUUGAACCACCCUCUUCAAACUUGUAAGUUGUGAGCAGAGUCAUGUACUGAGCAAUUUCAGCCUUCUGUGAUUCCUUGAACUUAUUCUCAAUAGCUUUGAAAUAAUCUUUUGCAAGAUCACACCUUUUGAUGCCUCCUCGCACGGUGUCCGUCAUCCCACUUUCCAAAAUUGACAAUGCCACUUUAUUCGCUCUUGUCCAUCUUUCAAACUCUAACUUAUCAGCCUUUGAACUCUUAUCAGUAAGAGGUGCAGGCUGUGGUGUAUCCAGUGCUAUGUCAUAUUCAUUCAGUGUCAAAAGCAAUUCAAUUUCCCUUCUCCACUUUCUGUAAUUACUUCCACCCGUGAGUAUUGGCACAGCAGCCAAAUUCAUUGUUUUUAGUGAAACUGCAGAAGAUAACAAUGAAAUCAACACUUUGAAUCUUUUAGGAUUCAUGAUUUCUAUCUAUUUCACCAUGUAAUCCUCAUCAUGAGUCAAUUUUGUCAUACAUGGUUUCAAACUUUGAUAAAGAUAACCAUAUAUAGAGUAAACAACUCACAGAAGAUUGCAUUCAAGAAUCAUGUUCAAAAGGGAUGAUGUUCAUAUAUCACACCACAUGAAUCGAAUAUCAAAAUUCAAUAAACCCAAUAUAAAACAGCAGCGGAAACUCAAAAAUAAUUGAUUCAGUUUAUCCAUUUAGAUGAUUUUGAUUCGAAUUGGCGAGAUGCUAGCAAAUUCUCUAAUUAUAAGCAUAUAUACGGUAUUCUUUAGUUCAAAUAAUUUCUUACACUAAUUUCAAGUUUUAAAAUUGUAGACAUACCUUUUGGAACAAUCAAUGAAUGCAAUUGGCAUGAGAAGGAUAAAAAGGACGAAAAUUCCUUAAAUCGCUAUAAACCCAGAAACUGGGAAAAGGAAAAGAGCUAAGGGAGAGGAAAAGUCGCAAAACCCAGCAAACAUAAGGGUAAGACCCCUUUUUUUUUUUUUUUUUUUUUUUUUUUUUUUUAAUAAAACGGUGUCGUUUGCUAUUGUUAUUUUCAAAACAGGUUAUGAUUCUGGGUUUGGUAAUUAUAGGUUCUUGUCCAGAUUGUUGUGCAAAAAAAAAAAAUAAUAAUUCGAACUUAAUGGCAAUUAUCUCUCCCAAGCUCUAAUACCACAUGUAAGAACUAUAUCACAGAUCAAAGAUAUGCCAGUAAGUUACCAAUACUCCAACAAUCGAACUAAGUGACAAAACUACAAACACGAAUAUGAAACCAGUGGAAAACAUACCUGCAGAACUUGAACUCGAAGAAGCCAUAGCAGGUUCACAACCAAGCAAUCUUCUCCUCUUUAGCAAAACUAGAAAACUCUCUGAAUAAUAGGUAUUCAAUACAAGAUGAGCCGUGUCUUUGCAAGAGCAGUGAUUGAGGUUAUAUACAACAUUAAUCCAACUCAUUCUCCUAUUAGAAUUAGUGUUGAACUCUAAAACAAAACCUUUUCACACAAUGAGUGUACAAGAUCAAUUAGUGUAGGAUCCGAAACCUUUUCCAGAGGAACACUAAAAGCACUCAUAAUCCUACAAGGACGAGGAUUCAACCAAACACCUUAUCAAGACUUUUCCAUUCAAGAAUUCAUCCAAUAUUAUAGCUAAUCCUCAAACAUGUUUCAUACUCAUAUUCCAACACUAGUUACCAGAGAAUGACUUUUAUCCUUCUAUAAACAGGCAGUUGAUAAAGGUGACUCUGGCCCAAUAUAACUUGACUCAUAAACUGGAAACUUUGAGGCUUCAAACUCUGAGCCAAAAGUUGAAGCUUCUCACUCAACAAACAAAAAUUACAAAUCCAAAACUAAAAAGAAUCAGAAACAAACUAAAACAUGGGAUUGGUGAAGGCCAUACCUUCGAAAGCAUAGACGCAGACAGCUCUUCGAGAGCGAUCCCAACUCCGGGGUCGGAGGCGGAAACAGAGGCCAAUAUCCUCAAGAUUUUGCGUUGACGAUUGUGAGAUCGGGAUAAAACGGUCGAAACCAAAUUUGCAAGUUUUGAAAAAACGUUAAGGAAUCUGGGUUUCAAUGAAUAAGGAGGUUGCAAAUAAAAUCCCCAAAGAAACAAAAAAAAGGUCUCCCAUGUCGGUAUUUUGUGAGAGAAAAAGCGCAAGAUUCGAGAGCGAGUUCAACAGCAGCAGAAGCACAGAUUUGUGAGAAAGAAGAAAUCGAAGGAAAAAUCGAGAAGAUGCAAGAGAGGCUUGAGGCAAGCAUGGACAAAUGGGUAAUCUUACGUGUAAAGAGGAGAAAGAACGGAGCAGGAAAGCUGUUUGACAAGGCAAUAUCGCUAAUUUAAUUCUGGUGAGCAACGCUUUUCCACCAAGUGGAUGGCAAGGGCAAAAACACCUUUUUACUGUGAAAAAGACGCAAAAACAAAAUGGCACAUAAAAAAGCAUUCAGAGGGCAUUUUCGUCCGUUUACUGCUGGUGAACAGUGUUUUUUUGCUUGAGUUUUAGUAUAGGUUCAACUAAAAAUUGUUAUCCGCGUGAUUAGAAACUGUUAAAAAAAAUUAUCAUAGACUAUUAAUAUUAUUUACAUUAAAAAUGUUACACGAUUUUAACAAACAAAAAAUUUAAUCUAUACAGUAUACACACAAACAAUUGUAGAACUUUUGUCUUUACAUAAAAAAAAUAAAAAAAAUCUAAGUUAUUCACUGAAGCACCUAAAGUUUCUUGAUUGUGAAGAAAGCAACCUCAGCAAGGAAAAAUAUGAAAUAUUAAAAUACAUGCAAUUAAUUUAUACAUCAACGGGCUUAUAUUACAAAAAAAUAAGGAUAAAGUAUUGCUACCUAGUCUUUUUUUUUUUGGAGGAAAAUAAUCUGAUUUUAUACCAAUUAGAGAGAACUUUUUUUCAGCAAUUUAAUAGUCUAAUAAAUUGAUUAUACAAAAAAUCCAUUAAAAAAACCUAAAAACAAUAAACUAUUCACUAAUUUUUCAUACGAAAUAGAACAAAGCUAUAGAAUAUACCUUUUCAUAGUGAGUAUUGUGAAAAAUACAACAUAGCUUGAGACAAUGGUAAUUAACGUGUUUGGAAAAGUCUACCUGCGUGGUGGUGUAAUCGUCACAUAGAUAAACUUCAAUGCCAAUUGAUUGAACUAAGUUUUUUUUUUUUAACAAACAAUAUUAUCUACACUAAAGAGAAAGGUAAGCUUUAGCCUCACAACAAGAGAAGCCUUGCGCAGAGCUCUACCUCUAACAACUCAAUUAUAUCUUGAAAUCGGCUAAGUUGGUAUUGUAACACGGUAAGGUUGGGUAGAUUUUAGAUCCAAAUGUCACCAAACAAUAUUCUGCAGAAUGGCAGUGUUCUGUCUAGAUUGUCCAUGGCACGGACGUAAACUGGAUGAUAACGCAGGGCAACACUGGUACUAUACCCUAAACAUCCACAAGCUAUAAACAAAUAGUUAAAGUUCAUAUGCACCAAGGGUACUAAAACUCAACCCAUUGUUUAGUAAGAAGAACCACAAAAACAAAUUAGUAAAAACCGAAAUGGUUAUCAGAUGGACACAAAGGUUUUUGUACUACGUGAAACUUUGCGUCGAGAAAUUGAAACAACUAUCAGGAGACAGUUAUACGGAUUUCCUACAAUUCUAUAAAUAAUGUAUUCUUUCACCAUUGUUUCAAUUCAAACAAAAAUUAAAGAACAGAAAAGCUAGAAGCAGGAAAAUUGCAACUGAUCAAUAUUUUCCAAACAAAACCAACCUGCAAUGUCCUAGUUGCAAAUUCAACUCCAAUGGUGGACUUAGACUCCAAAGAAAACUCAUUCCUCGUAAACCUCGAAAGAAUGUUCGAUUUUCCAACACCCGAAUCUCCAAUCAAUACAAUCUUGAAGAGGUAAUCGUAUUCGUGAUCCACCUUGUACGCCAUACGUUCUACUCCUCACACACACACCCCCACAACACCUGCCCAGAUCCAGAAUUCACCAAACAAAAAGCUGUUAGCAGUCAAAAAACCAAAAAAAUAAACCCAUUCUCUUGUUUUGACAGAAGGGAUGAGAAAAGUGCUGAUCAGAGAGCAUUUUCUUUACCUACGGUUUCUUUCCAAUGUGAUUUUCCCGAGAAACAAACGGAAAUUGGGUAAUCAUAAAACAAUGACAAUGGCGCGUAGAAUGGUGAUUAACAAAAUAGAGGAUUUUUUGAAUGUUGGGUUUUGUUAUGUUUGCAUUGAAGUUUGUGGAAACAGAGGAGAGGAGAAAAGAAGAAGAAAAGGAUGGCGUUGUACAAAGUUAGAAACAGAACAAUGGAUGAAAAUGCACUUAAACGGCCUUUCACGAGGGAACUGACGCGCCGAAUUCGGAGUCUAUGUAAAGUAAACGACCAUUCAUAAGACAUGACGCAUAAAAUUUAAGCCCAUUCUCAAUAUGGGCUUAGGGCAUAUGUUUGUAACCCACUGAAAAGCUCCAUUAGGGUUUCCUAUCACACACUAUUUAUCUCUCUACACACUUAUGUCAUGUAGUCAUGUUUAAUCAUAUCAGUUGACUAUUGAUUUUAUCAACUUGGGUUACUAAAAAUUAAGAAAUGAGUGCAAUUAUCAUUUCUAACUGUUUUAAAAUGUUAGGAUGAUUCAUAAACAAAUUGGAAGUUCAAAAGAUAAGUCGGAAUGAGCCCCUAAAUUCAAAGGGCAUUUGCCAUGUCUCUCUGUUUUGUGAAUCAUUAAAAGUGACAUUAUUUAUCCUUACAUAUUUUGUCUUUGGUGCACAAAGUGACUACUACUACCUACCACUACAAACCUAACCUCUUACACCACCAUUGUUACCACCACGCCACCACCACGACCAUAACACACAAGCGUCACCACUACCACCACUUACCUCUGUGGCUCAACCACCACACCCCUUAAUCAGCAGCACCACCACCACUAUCACAACCAUUGUCCUAGCCACCGUUGUCAACGUCAUCACACAAAUUAUCAUGUCCAUUUUUGUUAUUAUAUACAAUUAUAUCAUUUUACAUUAAAUUUUACCAAACACGCUUUUACAAUGCUUUUCAUACUCACAACACUUAUAAAAAUACAGUUAUCAAACGCUCAGCUACUUUAUUUUGUAGCUGAUUAUUCUUAAAGCACAACAUAAACAAUUUUUUUUUAAAGCAUAGUACUCCCCAACUGGCCCUAAGUCCACAAAUGAGUCAUCCCAAGCAAAGCCGGUCUUGAGUUUUUUGGUGCCCGGAAAAGAAUCAGAAAGUGCCUUUUCUUAAUACACGGGUAUAUAUUAAAAAUAAAUAUUUAAAAAGAGUGGGCCAAACCCUUCAUACAUAUUAUAUUACUCAAGUGCAAAGGUAAACGUUCAUAGCUAAUAAGGAUAAAACUGUUAAAAGCAUAGUUAGUUAGAAUUGUUAUAAGGUGGUUAUGAUAGCUUGUAAUUAGUGAAUGUUUGUUUGGGUAUUUUUGUAAUUAGCUGGUUAGCUAAGACUAGUGAGUCACUAGUAUAUAUAUGUACAUACCAUUGUAUAAUUUUAUCUUGAUGAAAUGAAAAGAUAACAUUUCUAAUAUGGUAUCACCCACCUAAAAGUCUCACGACAUUUUCGAUCCUAUUUUUCCCGCCUCUCUCUCUGCAUCGUCUCCUAGGGUUUGCUUCUUCUUCUCCGAUCAAUCGAUCGCUUCAACACUCUUGCUUCUUCUUCUUCAUGCUAUGACGAGCUCUGCAGCUUAGUCUUCUUCCGCUUCAGAUUCUUCUAUUCAUCCAAUUCCUGCUGCUCUUUCUAACCCUAAUUCUGCAAUUACGAUCCAAAACAUUGGAUCCAUGGUUCCAAUCAAGCUUACAACGACGAACUACCUGACCUGGAGUGCUUUAUUCACUCCGAUUUUCCGCCGGUACAAUCUUACCAGAUUAAUUGACUGCACAAUGGCUGCUCCGUCGAAAUUCCUUCUCGAUGCAUCUGGAAAUUGCACCGCCACUCUGAAUCCCCAAUAUGUUGCGUGGUAUGAGAAUGAUCAGAACAUCUUGAUCUAGAUCAACUCUACGCUCUCGGAUGCAUUCUUUACACUGUUGGUGUUAAUUCGGCUCGGGAGUUAUGGUCCAAGUCAUGUAUUUCUCUUUCUAGUGUUUUAAAUAAAACUGUCUGCUCCAGCUGUGCUCUAGGCAAGUCUUCAAAAUUACCUUUUGUUUCUGUUUCCUGUACCUCCAAUAAACCUCUGGAAUUGUUACACACUGAUGUAUGGGGUCCAGCCCCUCUUCUUUCUAUCAAUGGACAUCGUUACUACAUCAUUUUUGUUGAUGAUUAUACCAAAUACACUUGGUUCUUUCCUCUUGCAUCCAAGUCUGAUGUCUUUGACACAUUUGUCAAAUUUAAAGCUCCCGUGGAAAAUCUACUCAGUUCUAAAAUAGUUACUAUAAGAUCUGAUUCUGGUGGAGAGUUUCUUAGUCUCAAGCUCAUCAAUUAUCUGCAAUUACAUGGCAUUUCACAUCAGUUAAGUUGCCCUCACACGCCUGAACAGAAUGGCUGUGCUGAACGCAAACAUCGGCAUCUAGUUGAAACUGCUAGAACUUUUCUAGCAGCCUCUCAAGUUCCUAAGCUCUAUUGGGAUGAUGAUUUUGCCACGGCUAUCUAUCUGAUUAAUAGAAUGCCAACAGCUACCAAGUAUUCUCCUUGGGAAUUACUCUUUCACAAACCUCCGGAUUAUUCCUCUCUGAAAGUGUUUGGCUGCAAAUGUUUUCCUUGGUUGAAGCCUUACAUUUCCUCUAAACUUGAUCCAAAGAGCAAAGUAUGUGUCUUUUUGGGUUAUAGUUUGAAUCACAAUGGUUAUAAAUGUCUCGAUCCUCAUACUGGCAGAGUAUAUCUUUCACGGCAUGUUAUUUUUUAUGAAGUCACUUUUCCUUUUGCUCAACAAGACUUAUCUCAGUCUCUCCCAUCUAGUUCUAGUUCUUCUAUACUGAGGAAUCAUCACACCAUUCCCACAACCUUAACUUUUCCCACUAUAUCUUCACCUUUACCAUCUCAUUCCCUUACUGCACCUAGUUCCCUUAUUGCAUCUAGUUCUCUUGCUGCACCUAUUUCCUCUUCCUCAUCUCCUCACCUUAUUUCUCAUCCCAUCUCUGCCCCUAAUCCACUUGCCGCACCCUCCAUACCUCAAAACACUCAUGCCAUGCAAACUCGUUCCAAAUCCAGUAUUGUCAAACUAAAGGUUUUUUUAGCAACCAAACAUCCCAUUUCCUCUGAGAUGUCACUGGACUAUAUACCAUCCACUUAUCUUCAAGCCUCCAAACACUCUCACUGGAGGCAAGCUAUGCAGGAAGAAUUUAAUGCUCUUAUUCAAACUGGCACUUGGUCUUUGGUCCCUUCUCAUUCUUCUCAGAAUUUGGUUGGUGCAAAAUGGGUAUUCAGAAAUAAACGCAAGCCUGAUGGUACCAUUGACAGGUACAAAGCAAGGCUUGUUGCCAAAAGAUUUCAUCAGCAACAAGGUUUGGACUACACUGAAACAUUUAGUCCAGUUGCAAAGCCGGUUACCAUUCGGCUUCUUCUCACUUUGGCUGCCAAGUUUGAUUGGUUCCUCAAUCAACUUGAUAUUAGCAAUGCAUUUUUGCAUGGUAAUCUCACUGAAUCUGUGUUUAUGGUACAACCACCAGGAUUUGAAGACCUUACAAUGCCUUCUCAUGUUUAUCAUUUGCAUAAGUCUUUGUAUGGUUUGAAGCAAGCCCUCAGGGCUUGGUAUGAGAAAUUAACAACUGCCUUAAAGUCUCUCGAUUUCUCUGGUUCUCAGAAUGACUAUUCUCUAUUUGUAAAACGGGAACCAGCUCUGGUCUUCAUUCUAAUUUUGUUGAUGACAUUAUUGUCACUGGUCCAAGUUCCCAUCUUUGCCAAGAGGUUAUAACUCAACUCGGUGUCUUAUUUCCUGUCAAAGAUCUUGGCCCCCUUUAUUACUUUCUUGGCAUUGAAGUAACAAGAUCAUCCUCGGGGAUAUUGCUUUCUCAGACCAAAUAUAUUCUUGAUCUCCUCACUAAAGCUCAUAUAGAGGGUUCCAAGCCUUGUGUUACCUCGAUUAGCACCACUAAAUUGGAUCAUAAAUCUCCUUUGCUUGAUAAUCCUGAAGAAUAUCGAUCUUUGGUUGGUGGUUUGCAGUAUUUAACUUGGACUAGGCCCGACUUAUCUUAUGCAGUGAAUUUGGUCUGUCAAUUCAUGCAUAGUCCUCGGCAAGCACAUUUCCAGGCCGUCAAGCGCAUUCUUCGAUAUCUUAAGGGUUCCUUGCAAAUUGGCUUAUGGUUUCCUAAGUGUUCCAAGUCUCUCACUCUCACUGCCUUCUCCGAUGCAGAUUGGGCAGGUUGCAGUAUUGACAGACGAUCCACUAGUGGUUUUGUAAUUUUUUUGGGAGACAAAGAGUGCAAAGAAACAGCCUACUGUGGCUCGAUCCUCAACUGAGGCUGAAUAUCGAUCUUUUGCAAACACUGCGGCUGAACUCACCUAGAUUUGCAAGUUACUGACUGAUGUUGCUCUUGUUCUUCCCUCUUAUCCACAACUUUGGUGUGAUAAUAUCUCUGCAAUUUCCUUGGCUAAGAACCCUAUUUUUCAUGCACGAACCAAACAUGUGGAGAUAGAUUAUCACUAUAUCCGCGCAAAAAUUGCUCGCCAAUCAAGUGCAAGUUCUUUUUGUCUGCACGGAGGAUCAACUUGCUGACAUUUGUACUAAACCUCUAUCCAAGCCUCGGUUCAUCUUCCUUCGCAACAAACUCUCUCUUCGGUUCCCUCAGUUAGGUUUGCAGGGGGGAUAAUAAGGAUAAAACUGUUAAAAGCACAGUUAGUUAGAAUUGUUAUAAGGUGGUUAUGACAGCUUGUAAUUAGUGAAUGUUUGUUUGGGUAUUUUUGUAAUUAGCUGGUUAGCUAAGACUAGUGAGUCACUAGUAUAUAUAUGUACAUACCAUUGUAUAAUUUUAUCUUGAUGAAAUGAAAAGAUAACAUUUCUAAUAAUAGCCACUUUAAACUAUAAUCAUUAAGUUCAUCUCCAACUGAACGCUGGCCAAAUGGCUUGUUUUAGCCAUCUGAUCCUCCAAGAAAUUAAUAUUUUAAUGAACUGUGCAUGAUCAUAUUCUUACCAUCUCCAACCGAGGGCCAAACAUAAUUUAUUAUUUAAAUUUAAAAACUACAACUUAAAUUAAAAAAACUACAACUAAAAUUUAAUAACUACAAGUAAAAUUUAUAAAAUACAACUUAUAUAUUUCAAGUCAAAUGUGAGAGGUUUUAUUUAGAGUAGCAAAAAAGGAAAUAAGUGGGAGAGGAAGUAGGAGAAACUAAAAAUGUGGAAGUGGGUGGGAGAGGAAGUAUAAAAAUAUAAAAAAAAUGGAAGUGGGUGGGAGUCCCACAUCGGUUGUGAGAAAGAUUUGAGCAAGUUCCAAAGCCUAUAAAAAGAACACCUAACAUUCAAUGAAACAUACUUUCUGGGCCUAUAAUUGAAUAUAUUUUUUUAAAAAUUUUGGCCAACAAAAAAAAAAUUCAAAUAACUGUAAAAAAAACAAAAAAAAGGGCUAGCUAACUUUAGCUAGUUGACAGUUGCUUUUGAAUUUUAGCCCGGCCAGUUGGCCCUUUGACCCUUUUUUAUCUAGUGGGGCCCACAAUCCCUUUGGUCUAGUUCUUGGUUUGAGGCAAUUUUAAGGUCAUUUUCGACCCUCUGACACCUUUUGGUUGAAGAUGACCUAACAGAAAAAAAUUGAACAUUUUAUGAGACUUCUCUCUCCGAAGAGGUCCCAAAUUUAAGUACUAGUAAACGGGUGCAUUUUUACUCACCCACAUUAACUUAGGUGUAUGCUCACCACACAACUCCAAGCUUGCCAAGUGUCCCUUUGCUUUAAUCCUAGUUAACAUUUUCAUUUGUUAUUAAUAUUUUACUAUAAUAAUACAUUAAUAAUCAUCUUAACAUUUAUCUUUGAACUUUUUAAUCAAUAUUUGUAUCUCAACCGUCCAUCUCCCCUCUUCCUCCCCCCUCCCAUCUCUCUCCUCUGUCACUUUUCCCCCUUUUCUGUCAUUUGGGUGAAUAUCCCAAAUCUAAAAUCUCAAAUUCUAAUACAAAUUUAAAGGGGAAUGGGUGAAUUGAUUUGACGGGGUGAAGUCCAUCAAUAUCGUGAGAAAGGAGCAUGAUGAGUAGAUUUUAUAUUAUAUAUGUUACCCUAAUCUUAGUAUAUUUUGGUUAACAUUUUGGAAGAAUUUUGAUACUUUGAAUUGUAUUUCCAAUAUAGGACUUUCGACUUCUUCUGGAGCAAAACAGAAUCAAAUGGACGAUUUUUUGAGUAAUUCUAGUUGGAGAACGUUCGUGAGUCACUUAUAUUGAUCGUAUCAAAAUCUGGGAUUUUUCCACUAAGCAGUUAUUUUCUGGCGAUAAAAUAAAGGAGCGAUGUGCAGUGCUGGAAAAUGACGUUUUUUGGCUUAAAUUACGUUUUUGUAGCCCAAGAUGACCUCGGAUGGGUUCGUGGCCUUCUGGAGAAGUGUUCAUAAUGUUCCAAACAUUAAAUUCAGCUAUAUUGGGCUGGUUUUGGAGCAGCUUAUGGGUCCAAAAUGUGGCUGUUCAGAUUUUAGGCGAAUUUUCCCAUUUAAUUUAGGAUUAUGUUUCCUAUUUUAUUUAUUGUUACUAUUAGUUUCCUAGAGGAAAAAAGGACCUGUUUUUAGGGUUUGUGUGGUGGUUUAGCAAAUAUAUUGCUUAGCCGUCUACCACAUUUUUCUCUACGCUUUAUUUUAUGCAAUUUUGAAGACAGAGAGAAGUGCUAGGGUUUUGGAGAUUUUCUACUUGAAGGUGUUUUCAAUCAUUUUCUUAAUAAUAUUUUCUAUGAUUUCAAUUAUGAAUAUGCAUAACUAAUUUCCUAUUGCUAGGGCGAAGCCUUGAGCCUUAACAUGAAUACGUGAUUUUUAUUUAAUUGCUUAUGAUUGAUUGCAUGCAUACUUUGAAUUGUUAAUCACCGGGAUAAAAACUAUCUAAUUAUCUUAAUGCAUGAUCACCAUUAUGAUCUUUAGAAAAGUAAUUUGAUGCAAUUUUGGUCGGAAGGUUCCCUGAAAUUGACGCUGGCUUCAUGUGAUUAAUAAUUGUAAUUUCACUUAAGAUGAACA